rnacentral:lncRNA from 1 species
UGAUGAACCCAACUUCCUCCACCGCCACAUACAGCCCAACUUCCUCCGCCUCCACAGACACGUUCAUAUUGGCAAAGUGUUCUCCGGAAAAGUUCUCUCCUGGCUCAGCCUACGAGACCAACCUCAACUCCCUCCUCUCUUCCCUCGUUAGCUCCACCGUCGCCAGCCGCUACAAUAACCUCACCGUUCCCUCCGGCACCGGAACAAAAUCCGAACCGGCCGUUGUAUAUGGUCUUUUCCAGUGCAGCGUUGACCUAGACGCAACUUCUUGCUCAUCGUGCGUAUCACGUGCCACAGCACUGGUCGGAAACACAUGUCCCAACUCGUACUCAGUGUUCUUGGAGAUGCAAAGUUGUCUGGUCCGGUUCGACAAGAGCUCGUUCUUUGGCGUUCAGGACAAAACAGAGAUGCUCAAGAAAUGUGGACAGCCGAUGGGAAAUAACGACCAGGAUGCGUUGACCAGAGUCAGUGACGUCAUGGGUUCGUUAAGUUCAGGGAGUGGAUCUGACAGGUCUGGAGGGAACGGGGAUGUUCGGGGUAUGGCUCAGUGCAUGGGUGAUCUAAGUCCAGCACAGUGUCAGGAUUGCUUGACUGAUGCAAUCGGACGGCUCAGUUCUGACUGUGGUAUGUCCCAGGGAGGAUACGUUUACUUGUCCAAGUGCUACGCGCGUUUUAGCUACGGUGGUAGUCACGCUCGUCAGACGCCAAACUCAAACUUUGGUCAGAUUUCUUUAUUUUAAAAGUAUUAUAGAUUUUUUUUUUAAGUAGGAUAGAUAAAAAGUCGCAAUCACACGAGGAAAAGAAAACAAAAACUUAUAAUGUAGCCAUAGAUGGCAACCUCUCUCUAUGGUUAAGUGCUGAAUUGUGGUAAUUAUUGGGAUGAUAGACUUCUAAAUAGGUGAUAGUCUUGAUAUUUAUCUAUGUAAUAAAGUUUAAUUAGCAGGAGGAGAUAAAGACGAUAAAAAUAAUGACGGCAUCGGGAAAACAUUGGCGAUAAUUAUUGGGAUUAUCACCUUAGUCAUCUUGCUCGUUGUGUUUCUCGCUUUUCUUGGAAAGCAAUUGAGAAAAUUACAAGGUAUUUUCUCUAUUUAAUUUCUAUUUUCCCCUUUUGUCAAUAAUUAAAAUCUAAAUUCUUACUAUGUCUAUGAAUUUGUAGACGAGAAAUGUUGUAAAUGAAAAGUCAACGUGGGAAAGAGGUCAAUCAACCACGAGUCAAGCCAUGCAAUGCUAGUUGUAUUUUGGUAAUUAAAAAAUUUGUGACUGGAUGCCUCACAAGAUGUAGUUAUAUAGUAUUUCAACGUUUGUAUUUUGUACUUGAUUUUUGUAUUAUCAUCGGACUUUAGCCAGAAAACAUAUACUAAUGGAUAAUACUCCCUCCGUUUCUUAUUAAGUGUCGUUUUAGAGAAAAUUUUUCGUUACAAAAUAAGUGUCGUUUUCAAUUUUCAAUGCAAAAUUUAUUAAUUUUAUGCAUCAAUUUAUUUUUCUAUUGGUUGAAAUAUGGUUAGGUGUAUAGGUAAUGAUGUUUUUGUAUAGAAAAUAUACAAAAUUAAUUGUUUUCUUAAUCCGUGUGCACAAAUCAAAAACGGAGGGAGUAAUUAACAAACCUUCCUUCUUAUCUUAUUAAUUGGAUAUGGACGUAGCAACAUUCUAUUUGGUAUCUAAAUAUCAUUUUAGUCUUCUUUUAUUAUUGCACAUGUGCGCGUAAACACACACACACAAAACCAAACAUAGGAGGAGAGGGAAUGUGUUAAAAUAAAUGAAUGUGUCCAGAAUAAUGGAACAUGGUAAACCGAAAAUUAGGAUGUGAGAAUCGAGAACAAAAUCAUUCUGUUCGUCCUAUUGUGAAUGUCUUUACGAAUCUUUUCUUCUUAUUCAUCAUUAUUUAUUCUCAUAAUUAAUGACUAAGGAAUUCAAUUGAAGAAUUGGCCUAAUGUAUGCUUUAAUCAUUAAAAUCUAUUUUAUUAAGACAGAAGUACAAAUAAGAAAUAACCAUUAGACUUAUAAUUUAAUUACAAUACAAUGUCAUUCAAGUAAUUAAUAAAUUUAAAUCUAAAUUAAUUUUUUCCUAAAUCUAUUCCACAACAAAUUCAUGAUAAAUAUUACACUUAAUGCACAUGCAUUAAUACUAUAAACCUUAAUAUGUAAAGUAGAAAAUAUCUUUCCAUAAAUUCGUGGGUAUUAUCUUCUUUAAAUAAUGUUUAUCAUUUUUCAAAGUUUUAUAUUGUUAAUGAAAUUAAUUAACAAUAUUUAAAAAAUUUAAAGGAUAUGCCGCAUUUGAGAAUAAAAACUUAAUAAUGAGAACAUAUUUAAAAAUAUACAUUUUACUUGAUAAUUCUGAAUUUGUACCUAAUUAAAUUUUCAAAUAACCAAUUUGACUAAUCUAUUUAAUUGAUGAUAUUUGAUAUAUGGUGUUUUAUACAUCUUGUAUAUAUGCUUUUAAAUUGGUUUUCAAGUCUUUAUCGAGUCUUUCUAGUACUUUUGGAGUCAUUACAGGUCUGGAUUUGCAUUGGAUGGGAGAUGGACCAGCUGGAACAAAAGAGGCAGAAAACAAUGCAAUUUGGUGGUUUUCACGCAGAACAGUCUUGAUGACUAUUCCGGAUAGCGGAGCAACCCGAGUGACUGUUCCGAGUGAGUGUUCCAGCGGCAGAGAUUUUUAAGGAAACUACAAUCAUUACGGGAUUUGCCCUAAUUAUCCAUAUUUUCUCUCCCAGCCGCAUGUGGCUUUGACAUAUCAUAUUUUAUGUUUCUCUUUAUCAUUCUACGCUAGUUUACAGAGAGGAACCAGAACCGAAAACUCCAUUGUUGGAUUUUCUUAUUGUAAAGGGAGAAGGAUCUCUACACUCUUGAGAAGAGUCCUGAACCCUAUCUCUUUUAUUUUAUUGAUUCAGCAUGUUUUCUUGAUCUGUUAUCUCUGUGUUCUCUGUAGCUAUGGCUGAGUAGUCAGCUUGCUUAGUCUAGGGUGCUAGGGUGUUAGAUCCGUGAGCUUGACAUAAAUAAGUUAUAAAUCGAUUGUCUUCAUUCACUGUUGUUCUUAAGGCUUGCAUCAAGUUAACCACUUAGUGCCUGAUUCUAGGUUUAAUCUAUUCAUCAAAAGUGUUAUAGGUUGCUAGACAUAACUUGAAUGAGCAUUGCAUCCAUAACCAGCGAAAGUAGAUGUUAGGGUGUUUUGUGAACAUAUCGGACUUGACCUCUAUUGCUUGCUGUCGCAUCUUGAUCCAAACGAGAGUUUAGGUAUCAAGAUCGAUCAGCAUAGGGAGCAGUACCACGACAGUGGACUGUUCUACUUGAGUGAUUCGAGUUCUAGACUUGCUCUUAAUUAACUUGAAUAAUUGUUUGGCUCACACUUGCUUAACACCCGAUCAAACCACCCUAGGCUAGCAUUUUAGUUAUCUGAAUACUUUAAUUAAUCUUGUUACUUGUUUCUCACGAAACCCUCAAAUCUUUAAACCCCCAUAUUGUUUUAGCUUGAUAUUGAUCCCAUAAAGAUAAAGUGUAAUAGUUGGUCUCUGUGGAUUCGAUCCUAAAGUGCUACAUCGACAUACCAUUCGAUUGUGGUAGUGUGCACAUUAGGUUAAUUGGUGUGCGUAUACACGUAAUAUCAAUAUUGUUUUAGAUAUAUAUAACUAAAAUGCUAUUAGAAAAUUAUUUUUAAAUUAUGUAUGAUAUUACAUAUGUUCAAUUGAAUUUUACCUUAAAUUUUUUUUCUUUAGUAAUGAUUUGAAAUAUUAGAUUUGGUUUAAGUAUCAGUAUUAAAAAAUUAAAAAUACCUAAGAUUUUUCUUAUGAGAAAAUUGUAAUAGGAAAAGUUUCAAAAGAAUAUUUUUCAAGUUUUGUAUGUAAAGAAAAAUAUUUAGAUAAGAUAACAAUGUUCUAAAAAAAGAAUAAAAAAGUUCAUAUAAAAUAAAAAUCCUACAUAUAAUAAAAUGUUAAAGUCAGUAAGUUAAAAUAAAAUUAAUUUGAUAAUAAUAUAAAUACAAGAAAUGCAAUUACUCAUUCUAACAAAUUACUCAUUUUAAUAAGUAUAAUAUAAAUAUUUUAUUUAAUGCAUGAAAAAUAUUUAUAUAUCGGGUUGAUAAAUUAAAAAUUAAGACUACUUAUAUAACAGGUUGGAAAUUUAAAUAUAGUUAUAAUUUAUGACCAAAAACCUAUCAAACCAUCUCAAAUAUUAUUUUCGCAUAUAUAUGUUAGUUUAUGGAAAACACAUACAUAAACUAAAAAAAAUAUUUUAAUUAUUAUGCGAAAUGUCAUAUUAAAAAAUACAUAAUACAUGAAAAAAUAAAUAAAUAUUAUAUUAUUUAUAAAAAACAAAAGUAUAUUCCUAAAAAAUGAAAAGUGGUUUCUCUUUUUUAUUGGGAACCCAAAUAUUGUAAAUAAUUCUUUCCAACAUGUAUCAAACCCGACCAAUGAAAGGUUAUUAGCAUUUCCUUUACCACUAGCCAGCUCGAUAUCGGUAAAUAAAAAUGAUAUCGGUUAAAUAAAAACAAAUAUUCGCGUGAUAUUUACAUUUACAGUGAUAUAAAUUAUUUUACUUUUACUAUUAGUGGAAUUAUGUAACAACAAAUAUGUAUUAUGUGAUGUAUUUUUGUCACCAUUUUACUAUAAUUUUUAUAGAUUAUGUAAUGGUAUGAAAAAAUAUUUAGUUACAUUACGUAAACAAAAAAACACAUGCCCGGUCGGGCGGGUAUAGCUCUAGUGUUAUAUUAAAACUAUAAGCCGAUUAUCAGAUGUUUUAGGAAUUGGACAUACCAACCAACGUCUAACUCUUUUCCAUAUUUUUAAUCUUCUGAAAUUUUAAAUUCUAGAUUGCACAUUAAUUAAUGAUUAUCCGCGAACAUGCACAGAAUAAAAUAUAUAUUCCAAUAACUAACUUUGCAUAUUCAUCCAUAAGUGUAUCAUGUCAUAAGCUUUAUAUAUAUAUAUAUAUAUAUAUUAAUCUGAAUAUCUAUUAAAUAUGAGUUUUUACUCAUAUGAUUUUCUGAUCAUUUUUAUUUUAUUAUAACAAAAUUUUAAACUAUAGAUCAUAAACUUUUUUCAAUGUAAGACUUUUAACAGUUUUCAUAUUUUAUAGUCAUUUUUAAGAAUUCAAAAUAUAACAUAUACAAAAAAUCUAAAUUAUUAUUAUAUGAUUAAUAUGAUUGUUUAGUUUAUUUUAAUAAUAUAAUAUUAAAAAUAAUGAAAGAUAUGUAAAUUUUUAUCAGAUCUUUAUUAUUAAAAUCAUUAAUUGUCAAAUAUAUAUUUUCUUCACUUUUGGUAAUUUUGUAGCUUUUAUUUAACGAAAGAAGAAAAAAUAAUAAUUGUAGAUUGUUAAUUAAUUUCAUGGUUUUAUGAAAAAUAUAUAAUAUAUGUUUAGUAGACCAACAUAUUUCUCUAGAUACUUUAAGAAUAAUUCUAAUGAUGAUACGUGUCAUAGUUAAAAUUAAAUGUUGUAAUGCUUCUCUUUUGAUAUAUAAGAGAUUUUAAAGGUUUAUUUAAUACAUAUAUAAUCUAAAAAUCAGUGAACAAUGUUUUCAAACACUAUUCUAAUAUCAUAUUGGUAUAACAUUAUUAAGUUAUUUUAUAUCAAAAGUAUCAUGUGUUAUAUAAUCAAAGGUUACCUGUGCUACAAAAACCUGAUUAGAUUGAAUCGAUAAAGGCAUCCGAGGUUUUUUCGAGUUUCUUAUUAAUAAAACAAUUAAAAGGAAGAAAAAUAGAGAGUCGAUCGUCCGAAAAGAUUUCCACAAACGUUAAAUAUUUUCUCUAUACUUAUAUUUUCAUUAGACCAUGUACAUUGGUCUUUCUUAUUCAACACCCCAUUUUUAUGUUCUAACAAUCCACCUCAUCGUUUUCUUCUUCCAUGUAAUACACAUAAAAUUUUAUACUUUAUUUUUCCAAAAAUCAACUAAAAUUGCAAUUAAAAAUUAUAUGUCCAAAUUAAAUGAAACAAGUCUCUAUUUGUAAAACACACGGAUUAAUAAAUUUUGAUAUAUAAUAAAUUUUGAUAUACAAUAUGUAAAUAAAUAAAUAAAUUUGCUAUAAAAUAAUUGAUAUGAAAAAUUAAGGAUGUAAAAAGAAAAUCCCAAGGUAACAUGUUGCUUUGGUGGAUCCCAUUUUCUAGUUUCAACAUGUUGAAAACUAUCAACACCGAUUAAUCCACGUAGCUUUUUUGCCUUUUUCAACAUUUCUAUUGAAAGCAUUCAACAGUUGAAUAAAUGAUUCAAGAUGCCCAUUGUAAGUAGUCUUAGUGGUUCAAGUUUUUAUUAUUGAAAAGUUAAAAUUUAAAUGAACAUUUAUCAUUUCAUUUGAUGAAUGAUUACAUUGAUUUAUAUUAUAACGAUUUUUUUAAGAUGAUGCUUUCAACAAGCAAGUACAGUUUUUGGUUUGACAAACUCGAAAGAAUGACCACACACAAAAAAAAAAAAAAAAAAAAAAAAAAAAAACACAACCACACAAGCAGAUAGAGAAUCUAAUGUAGUGGAAUACUUACCAAUGCUGGGCCGACAACACAUAACUUUCGGCCUUAGGUAAGCAAACGAAACUUAUUUCGGCCCAUUGAUUAUUCACGCGGUGGAUAGUAGUAGUGUAGUAUUCUAACAAGUGACACUUCGCCUCUACGAAAGAGUCACCUCAUCAAUGGCCGGAGAAAUCGGCCAAUUCAAUUCAUGCAUCAACAAGAGUGCUUCAGUCCGGAUCAGUACAUACAUUAAUCAAUACAUACAUUAAUGAUCUAUGCUAAAACAUACAUCAACAUAGAUUUAUUUUAAAUUUUAUACACAAACUAAUAAUAAUAUACUAAAUCAUACAUUGACCUCUUUUCUUUUCUGCUAGUCAAACGUUUAUAAAAAUUGACAUGUCAUUAAAGGAAGCUUAGGUAUCGCUGAGCUGUCUAUUACGAUUUAAAAUAUUAAUUAUUAAAAAAAAAAUCAAAUACAUUAAAGGUGGGAUUCGAAAGCUGUUUACUUUUCAAAGAAAUAAAAUGCGGUGAUAAACAGGGGUGGCAUAAAUUGAAUAUCAGAUUUUGGAAGUAUUUGUGGUCCGAUUUGUUUAUCUGAAUAACCAGUUAUCCUAUCGAUUUGAUUUGUAGCUAUCUAGAUAUUUGGUAUCUAGAUAUUCAAACUUUUUUAUAUUUUUAAUCGGAAAUCCGAUUCGAUUAGGACAAUUAAAAAAAAAAAAUAAUAUUUUAUUACAGAAAAUUAUUUAUUUUUCAAACUUUAAUAACUGAUAUAAUCAAUUUAAUAAAUAAAAUAUUAUAAAUCAAUUUAUUAAGUUAAAAUAUUGUAAAAUUUAUAUAAAAUAUAAUUAUAGAACUCGUUCCUAAAAAAUAAUAUUUUCUUUACUUCGUAAAUAGAUAUCCGAAAUUUUUAGUGUGAUCGAAACAAAAAACGAUUAAAUCAAACUAUAUAAAUAUUUUACUAGCCUUGAUAAAUAUCAAACCGUUGAAUAAGAAAAGGAACCACACAUUUCACAUGUGGUGAGUUCAUGAAAUAAAAGAUCCAAUAGCCAUCAAAUUCACCCCUCAUUAUUCUCUGUUAGAAUUAAAAUCAGAUCCACCGACAGAUGUCUACAAUUCCGAGAAAGCCAAAAAAAAAAAAUCAAAAAUCAAAAGAGAAACAUUAAAAACAUGUGAAAUUAACCGGUCUAGCAGGUCGCACCAACUGUGUUUCCCGGUGGAAUAAGCCCCACAUGGUUUUUAAUCAAGCAAAAGCCUUUAAAAACUAGAAAAGAACACCGUCUCCAAAAGUGUGUCUGCAACAUUACUGAAACGAAACCUUCCCAUUGGAUUCUCACUACCUUUUGUUUUGUUUUUUAAAUUAAAUCUUUUGAGCAGAAACAGAGAAAGAAAAUUGUGUCGUAGUGGUUCUUUGUUUUAGUUCGAGAUGGAAAGAGAUUUUCUUGGUUUGAGCGACAAGAAGUAUCUCAGCAACGUUAAACGCGAGGCCAACGAUGAUCGUGUCGGAGAACGAGGUUUGUGUUCUUGUCUCUCUACCGUAUAAGCAUGUUUACUAUAGUCCAAAGUUGUUGUUUUUAAAUAGAAUUAACUUAGAUUUGAUCAACUGCUUAGAUUCCAAAACGUUGUUGUAAAAGUAGAUAAUAAUAAUAAUAUUUGAUCAAAUGAUGCAUGAAAAAUGAGAAUUGGAGUUUACAAAAUGAGUAAUUUUAUUUGAUGUCAAUAAAAAUUGGAUAAUUUUAGUAUUGAGCAAGAAGGCAGCUAUACAAUGGGGAAAGGCAAAGCUCUUGCCUAAUUCAAAUUUCAUGCCUGAUUUUCAGGUUUGUUCAACUGCUUUUAAGAUUCAAUUCAACUUCUUUUAAUCACUAGUUUACAGAACUUUCACAAUUUCACCAUCUUAUGGCUGGGGCUGAUUUAAUGGUUACAUUAACUACUUUCCCGGACAACUGUCAGCGGAAAGCUUCGGGAGAAUGGUCGGAAAACCUGUCGGAGUUUUAAUUUUAUUUCUUGAACAUUUAUUGAUUUGUUAACAAGAUUUUUAAUUGAUCUAUCAAAAGAAAAAAAACUAUUGUGUGUGGCCAAUCAUUGAUGGAAAUUGUAAAAGGAAAAAAAUAGUUUUCUUUAUAAGUGAGAUCUAAGAGUCGCUAGCCAGCCGCAAAAUUAGAAAACAAUAAUAAAAGAUGUGGCGACUGGCCUUUGAAGUUUUAGAUAAACGCAUAUGUCGGCACUUUUUGUAUUAAAAGACAUAGUGAAAAAAAAAUGUUAAGAUGUUGACGUUUCAGGCGGGCUCUUACCAGCGGGGCCCAGUUUCUGCGGCCAGCAAUCUCCGCAGAAGCCAAUUUAGCGGUGGUGCGUUUCAGAACGCGAAUCCGCCUUUACUUGGCGGUUCAGUUCCGUUAACUAAUCAUUCUUCUUUCCGUCCUGCUUUUAACUUGUCGGCGGAUGCUCGGUAACGUACCUAAGAUUUAAAAAAUAAGACCUAACUUGAGACGCAAGAACUGUUGAGUUAGGUUUAAUUUUGGUUAUGGGGCUUUGUGGAACAGAGUGGCUUCCUCAGGAUCACUACCUCAGCUCACUAUCUUCUAUGGUGGAACUGUUAGCGUCUUUAAUAAUAUAUCUCCUGAUAAGGUAUAAUCAGUACAUAUUUUAUAGAGUUAAAUUUACGAGACGUACCAUGUAUAGUGAUAUGUGUGAUUAGGCUCAAGCUAUUAUGUUAUGUGCUCGGAACGGUUUGAAAGGAGAAACUGGAGAGAGCAGUUUGAAGAAACCAGUUCAAGAAACUGAAAGAGUUUAUGGAAAACAAGUCCAUAACGCUGCUGCUGCUGCGGCAUCAUCAAGCUCUGCCACUUACGCUGAUAGUUUCUCUAGGUGUAGAGACAGACCCGUUGGUGCGACUAAUGCAAUGAGCAUGAUCGAAUCAUUCAACGCAGCAGGUCCUGGAAAUAUGAUUCCUUCAGGUAUAUAUAUCGACAUGAAAUCAAAUUUUUGUGUGUUCAAAAUUUUCAUCGCAUAAAUCAUGUCUAAUUGCUAAAUUUAAAUUUCUGAUACACUUCCAACUUAAAACCAGUAUUGAUAGAUCAUAACGUUUCACAUAUUAGUUCAUUAAUACUCCACCUAGCGAUGCUAGACUUUUAUUCUUUAACACUAAUCUAAAAGAUGUUUCAAUCUCAGUUCCUCAAGCUCGUAAAGCCUCAUUGGCUCGGUUCUUGGAGAAGCGCAAAGAGAGGUUUGAUUCGUUUUUUUUAAACUAAUUUUUUGAAUUAAAAUAAAUGUAACUGAUAAUAGAAGUUUAAUUCGUUUUUUUCUUUUGAGAAAUAGUUUAAUUCGUUUUUCCUUUAUAGAAUCUUGAGUUCUUCGAUAUGUGACUAGAAGUUGAAUCUAAAAAGAAUUGAUGUUGGUGCAGGCUCAUGAGUGCAUUGCCAUACAAGAAGAUGCUUCUUGAUUUGUCAACCGGAGAAUCAAGUGGAAUGAAUUACCCUUCUGCUUCGCAUACCUAAACAUUUCUUCUUCUUCUUCGGUUUUUAAAACCUCUGUGAGGUUUUAUUACGAUGGUAACUUGUAAUAUAAUCGACAGAUUAUUAUUAUAGCUACCAUUUAUUAUGUUACGAUCAGGAGAAGGCGUCAGGCGUCUAUGUAUUUGAGCAUUGUUGUAAUGGCUUAGUCUGUUAUUGUAGGUUCAUUUUUUUUUAUUUGAAACACUAACAUAUACUAUAUAUUUAUACGUUUGUCAUGUCUGUUAGUGUCAAGAAUAAAAACCAGUAUUGUAAUUUUACUGUCUAAUCUAGUUUUUUUUUUGGUUAUACGAAUACGUUGCAUCAUCACAAAAUGCUAAUAAAAUUGAAAACUAGUUUUUCUUGCUACUAUGAAAGACAUUCCUUCUCUUGGGGUUGAAGACUAAGAACAGCAGACUCAUUAAAAACUCUCUGUGCACAUUGAAGAGAGCUUGGCGAACCACCCACUUUGUUAUUGAUUAACUUGUAAGAAAACUAAAAUGAUAAGAUUUCAUACAACCGAAAAAUAAAGAUAUAUUCAAUUCAACCGAAGAAAAAUAAAGAAAUAUUCACAAGGAAAUAUGUAUGUGUAAAAUAGCGUCAAUAGUUUUAUUGGUGGGAUCUUGUAAAGGAAGUGCGUUUUAAAAUCAAUCUUAAAGAAGACACAAAAGAAGAUUGUAUUGAGUGAACCAGAGUAGCUCCGCGGUUGAUUAGGAUGUAUAGAUUCUGUUCACAAUCAAAGAUCUCAUAGAUAUUUUAUUUAUUGAGGCAGAAGAAAUCUUGUAGGUUUUUUUUUUCAUUUUUUUGAAUGCAGUUUACAAAUGAAAAAAAAAGAAAUCUUGUAGGAAAGUAAUAUUUGGGAAGAAAGAGAGGUUGGCAAGGAGAAGGGAACAAAGAGAUUAACAUGUAAACUGGUCACAGAAAACCCGUUCUCGUUCAUAAGUGGAUAAGAACGACCCUAGUCUUAUCAUUUUGCACCUCACUCUGUCUCAUUCUUUUAAUCUUGUCUUUUCAUGCCCCCACCAAGUUGCCCAAUUUGAACUACCACUUUUUUUUUUUUUUUUAUGAAAUGUUAAAUUUGUCGAUCAUAGAAAAAAAUAGUUAUGUACAAAAUGAAUCUAGAAAUCCAAAAUCUUUGCUCUUUGCUUCUAUCCUUACCCAAUAUGGACCUCAAACCACCGCUGCAUCAGUCUCGUUAGUCCUCUCUUCUCACAGUAUCGAGUUGACAUAAUCCUCUGUUUUAUAGUCUUUUCUAUCACCUUGGCAAGCUGGUUUGCUGGUUGACUCCGCUGUGUGUGUCGUCUCUCGUUACGUUCACGCCAAAUGUAAUAGAUAGUGACUUGUAAUGCUAGCCUCAGGAGAAUAGAAACAAGCCUAUCAUGUGCUGAGUGGAGAAUGCGAGCCAGAAUCUUAUUCCAGUCAAGUGAUGGCGCCGGUCGCAGUAAGGAACCAACAAUCUGCAACCAUAAGCCAUAUGUGUAUGGGCAAGCAAAAAACAAAUGGUCUCUUGAUUCUUCUGGUUCUCCACAGAAAGUGCAACCAUGUAUUACUCCCCAAGUUCGCAUUCUGGAUCCAGUAGAGAGCCUAUCUUUAACAGCUAGCCAAGUUACAAAAGUAUAUCGUGGCACACCUUGUUUAAACCAAAUCAGCUUCGCCCAGGGGAUCUUAGUAUUUUGGCCCCGCACCAUGUUCCAAGUGCUAUAAGCUGAGAAUUCUGAUCCAUAAUCUACAUCUCCUCGCUUCCAUUUCACCCCAUCAUCCACAUUUGGCGCCAGUACCAGCGGCUUUACCUUUACCUGCGCAAGCACUUGCUCUAUACUGCUAUCUCUUGAGUUCCGAAAUCUCCACUGAUCAUUGACUAAGACAUCAGCAAUCUCUGCAUUGCGGACUAUGCCAAGCUUCUGAGUUCCCCGCUCACCAAUUACUUCAAUCAAGCGCCCUAUAGGAAGCCAUAUAUCAGUCCAGAAUCCAACAGUUUUGCCAUUUCGAACUUCCAUACACAGAAACUGCUUGGCCAAUGGUCUCAGCUGGAGGAGCUUCUUCCAAACCCAUGAGCCCACUGCCCCUACCCGAGCAUCCCAAAAGGACUCCCCACGUAGUAUAGUCUGCUUCAGCCAUUGAACCCAGAGGGAGGUUAAGUUGUUGAAAAGACGCCAUAUCAGUUUCAAAUCAAACACCGCAGACACAUCCUUUAUUCUACGAAUCCCGAGACCUCCUUCAUCCUUUGGUUUACAGACCUCCUCCCAUGCGACCUUUGACUUUGAUGAGAUAUUGGGUGAGCCGCUCCACAGAAAUGCCGAACACAUACUCUCAAUCUCAUCAAUGCAGUCCUGAGGAAGACUAAACGCAGAACACCAAAAAUUGGUGAUGCUUGCAAUAACCGAAUUUAUUAACUGCAACCUCCCGGCAAAAGCUAGAGCUUUGCUUGUCCAGCUGAGGAAUCUAGCUCUAAUUUUUGCUAUCAGUGGCUCAUAAUCACUUCUAGACAUUGUUUUAGUAGUAAGCGACAUCCCAAGAUAUUUGAUGGGAAGAGCUGAGACCGUGAGUCCACAGGCUGCAGCUACAGUUUCUUGAGCCUGCUUUCCCCUGCCUGCUGCGAAGACUGUUGACUUUGCAACAUUUAUACAGAGUCCCGACAUGCUAGCAAAGUCUCCAAAAGCAUCAAGCGUUCCUGUGAGGGAUGUAGGAGAACCAUCAGUGAAGACCACAAUGUCGUCGGCAAAACUGAGAUGCGAAAGAUUAACCACUCUACAUAUGGGGUGGUAUCCUAUAUUUCCUCCCAUGAUAGCUUUGUUGAGAAGCUUUGAGAGAACAUUACUAACGAUGACGUACAUAUACGGUGAUAAAGAACAUCCUUAGCGAAUUCCUCUGGAGCUCGGAAAGAAACCUUCCAACUUACCAUUGAUAGAGACAGAGAACAUCGCAGUACUGAUACACUUCAUGAUCCAGGUUACGAACAUAUCUGGCAAGCGCAUCGCUCGGAGCACUGCUUCAAUGAAUGUCCACUUGACAGUGUCAAAAGCUUUUGAAAUAUCCAACUUGAUUGCUGAGCGAGAGGAUGCUUGAGGCUUGUGAUAAUCUUUCACCAAUUCUGUGGCCAAGAGAACAUUUUCUAGCAGCAUCCUGCCUUGAACAAACGCACAUUGAUUCUGCUCAAUAGCUGCUGGGAGAAUACCUUUGAGCCGGUGAGCCAUGAUUUUGGAGAUGAGCUUAUAAAUCACAUUACAGCAUGCUAUCGGUCUGAAAUCACUCAUCUUCUCUGCACUUGUUGUUUUCAGUACAAGGGACAGGAGAGUAGCAUUUGUGCUCCGAGGCAUGAAGCCAUACAAAAAGAAAGAGUGGACAACAAUCACUAAAUCUUUACCCACAACUGACCACACUGCUUUGUAGAACUCCAUAGGGUAACCAUCAGGCCCUGGUGCCUUGUUUGCUGGCAUCGAAAACAAAGCUUCUUUGACUUCCUCAGCUUGAACAUGACCAACUAGGGAAGCUGCUUUUGUGUCGCUGCAACGAUAAUCUAGCAGAUCACUUAACCUAUUCUCAGUAAUAUCCUCCAAACUCAAGUGCCCUGGUUCCUGAAGAAAACCCUCAUAGUAAUCAACCGCCUCUUUUUUAAUAUCAGCCAGCUCCGUUAGGACCCUUCCAUCUGAAGUGAUCAAUCUACGAAUAGUGUUACGAGAGGUACGGGUUUGGCACGUCUUGUGGUAGAAAUUUGUAUUUCUGUCGCCAAGAUCCAGCCAUUUGACUCGGGAUUUUUGAUAGAAAAAUUGUUCUUCAAUUCCAGAUAGGUGAUGCCAGUGCUCCCAUGCAUCAGAAGCUUCCUCAAACGUAGUGGUACAAGGGUUCCGCAUUGCAUUAUUCUGCUUAUCAGAGAGAACCUCCAAAGCCACUUUUACCCUCGCUGGCAAAUCUCCAAAGGAAUCUCUAUUCAGUCGCCGGAGCUCUGAUUUUAACAUCUUUAAUUUGUCCUGCAGUUUCUUCAAAGCUGUCCGAGAAUGAAACAGGGGAGCAGUAGAGUUCCAUACUUGAUCUACCACUUCCAAAAACUGAGGGUGGCUGACCACAUGCGUGAAAAACUUGAAAGGUUUUUGAUUUUCCACCGGGUUGUCAUGUACAAUAGUCACCAUUCUAGAGUGGUCAGAAACACCUCCUGCUUCAAACAGAGUGUGUGAUUGCUCAAACCUUGAGAUCCAACUGCUGUUACCCAUAGUUCUAUCCAACUUCUUGCUGAUAGGGUUUCCAUAUUGACUAUUUAUCCAUGUGAACUCCGAGCCAGUGUGAGGGAUGUCAACAAGAUCGCAGCUUCUGAUGAUAUCCUGGAACUCUCUAAUAGCCAAAUUCUCUCCUGUGGUAUCUAGAAACCUAGAGUGCUCCAUAGCAGACUUUGUGACAUUGAAAUCGCCUUGCAAUAUCCAUGGAUUUGUCCCCGCUGCCGCUAACCGAGCUACUGUAUCCAUCUCUCUCCAUAAAUCUCUUCUCUCCAUCAUACAAUUCGAGCCAUAGAUAAAUGAUGCAAGAAAAAUAUCACCCGUGUCUUUAAACUUCACCCAACACGUUAUCAUUUGUGCACUAACCAACACAUGCACCACUUCCACAUCCUCCGACCAACAAACCCAGAUUCUUCCCAAUCUGUGGUGGCUGUAGUUGUGCAAAUACUGGCAUCCCUGAAAAGUAGCUGAAAAAAUCUGCUGAAAAUUCUCCUCCUGAACUCUCGUUUCCACCAAACAUCCUAACCGUAGCUUUGCCUCCUUAAUCCAAUAUUUUACAGCGUUGUGUUUACGCGGUUGAUUGAAACCGCGCAUGUUCCAUGCGAAGAUUGACGUCAUUUGUUCCUACGAGAGGAAGCUUUCUUGCCUUGGCCACUCACCACUGCAUUAACCAGUCCUCUCGUAUUCGCAAUCAACGCUUUCCCUCUUCUUUUACCUCUUUGUCCUGUGCUUUGACCUGCCUUCUUUCCCUCCCCUUUACCGUCUCCUUCAGUACCCUUCUCAUAUCUUUUAUCUUGGGUUUUGAGAUUUAACUCGUCUUCUAUGCCAUCAUCCUCAUCAAUUUCUCCCUCCUCCCUUAUUCCUUGUAGAGCCUGAAAACUGUUAGGAGACGCAACUUUAUCCAACAGAACCUUCUCCCGUGGAGGGGAAGAUCUAUUGCUACCCUGCUCCCCCAAAGUGACUCAUUUCUCUGAUUCCACACCCGAGCUGAGGUUAUUUAGAAACAGACUCAACUCUCUUCCAUUUUCGCCUGCAUUCUCUGCCAGCAAUGCAUUAACCGGUAACUGUUCCAACUCAUUUAGCAACUCUGAGACCGCUUCCCUUCCUAUUCCCACAUCACUAUCCUUUGUCUUUCCAGCUUCAGCAACCAGCUGCUUCUCCAUCUCUGGCCUUUUUAGAAUCACCACCUCUUGUUUCUCAUGUCAGUCCUUGUCAUUGUGCCCCCACUUAGAGCAUACACUACAACAAGGAGGAAGCCAUGAGAAAUUAACACCAACAUUUACUUCAUGACCAUCCUUUCCCUUGAAGCAAAUCUUCUGUGGCAGUGGUUUCUCAAGAUCUACUUCAACUAAUACUCUCGCUACAUCUAACCGAACACAACGCUCAGUAGUAGGGUGCAGCUUGACAAAUUUUCCUGCAGUGCGAGAUAGAAAUGAGAGGCCUUUUUUGAGUAUAAAUAGCCUGGAACAUUCUCCAAAUACACCCACAAUGGCAUGGCUGAGAGGUCCGGUGGAGCUUUUGCUGAUUUCGGAGUCCAUUCAUUUAGAACCAGAGGGACCUCUGAUAUAUGCCAGAACUUCCUCCUGAUGAUUCGACUGCAAACUUGAGCAUCUUCCACCCUAAACAAAACCGUCCUCUUUCCAAUAAAUUGAACAUCAAUCUUCGACACUUUCCCUGGAGACGACCAAAUUCUAUUUACCGUUGAAUGAAUAGAGCCAAUGUGAGGCGCAUCAUUCAUAAAAUAACCCACUACGAAACACCUCCACAAAGGCUCAACAUCUUCCAUUAGCUCCUCUGGUAUUGAGACCUCCGCAACCCCAUCUGUUACCACAAACUCAGGGUUAAUCGAUUCAGCCAAGACCUCCCUCACAGCCUCAGAAUACGAAGUCUUAUUUGAUGUACCCUCUUUUUCCAAAACCACUUCCACCUUGUUUCCCUUCCCUUCUGCCUCUAUCGGAGCCAGAUUGCCUCCCACCGCUACGCCCAUAGGGCCCACGUCUGGGGAGAGCGAAAUAGCCCUUCCCCCAGAGAUCUGCAAAUCAACAAUCACACUUGUCUCUAGACCCAAAGAUGCUUCUCCAGAUUUGCUUAUCGCGCCUGCCCCAUCACCUCCAAUCGAAAACCCAUUCCCAACCGAAACACUCUUCACAGCCUCUUCCACACCUGCCUCUGUCAUUCCCUUACCCUCCUUUUCCACCGCCUUCGGAGACGGCGGAUCCACCGAUGGAUCAAUCUUCUGAAACCCUAAUCGCCUUUGUCGCCUUUGUCCUUUCAAGAGAGAUUAAUCUAUUUAUGAACUACCACUUUAUUGAUCACAAGUUUAUGGUUUGGGCUAAUAUUAGCUGGUUUGUGUGUUUUAGAUAGUUUCAUGGAUUAAUGGAUUUUAUGAUACUAAGAGCAUGAUUAUUAGGAGGUUCUUAGGGUGGGGUUCUUAGCGGAAUAUAAGAACCCGUCUCUUAAUUUUUAACUAAAAAAACUAAGAACCAUCUCUUAAAACUCUUAUUUAAGAGUCGGUUCUUACCUUUUUUAGUUAAAAGCACUACAAGAAAAAUGGGCUUUACUAGCGGACGAAAAACGUUAUCUAACGAUUUAACAGCGGUUUAAAGAACGCUGUAUCAUCGCCCGUCAUAGUAGGUAUGGCACAUUAGAUAACACUUUUUUGCGGUGCUAUCGUUUCUUCGGAAUCGAUAGCGCUUUUGUAUUUGCAAUAGUAACCUAUGUAAUAGCGCGUCAUUAAUGUUAUUAGUUAUAUUAUUAACAGCGUUUUCGAGAAGUUAUUUUUAAUUCAUAUAUAGCAAUUAAUAGUUCCUGCUAUAUAUAUUAUUUAGAAAUUAUAGCAGCUAAUAUUGAUGCUAUUAUAUAGUAUAUUUAAAUAAUUAUAAUAUUUACAUAUUUCAUUUUAUAAUUUAUAUAUAUUUAUUUAUUUUUAUAUAGACUCGAUUUUUUUUUGUCAGACAUUAUAUUAUGAAACAUAAACUUCAAAGAUUCAACAUUAAAACAUUCUUGUCAAAUAUUACAAAAGUAAAGAAAUCAACAUUGGUAGUUCAAAGUGUGCUGCAACUAGCAUAAUAGCAUAACAAGUUCAAAACCAUCGGAUCUUUCUUACAAUAAAACAAGCUUGUCAUUUGGCCAAGCCACCGUGCUUCCAACUGCAUCACCAAUGAAUUCAAUUUCUGAGUUUGGCCUCCACACUCGUGCCCCAUCGUACUCGGAAACCUCUACCCAAACCUUAGAAGCAUUGAGACCUAAAGGGACGAAAUGCACCUUCUCUGCUGGAUCAGUUGAGAACACACGACCUAAAGCCACUCUCUGUCCAGAGUUAUUACAGUCCAAGAGAGCGCACUUCUGUUUACCACCUUUGCUGCUACAACCACUACUGUUACUACCACUCUACAACGAAAGACAGUAACAAAGACAAUCAACACAAUCAUCGUUGAAUCCAACUAUCAUCUUAACAGAAAUUCAUAUACCAACAAGAAUCACACUACUUUAGUUAAGUAAUAAAUAAGAUGUUUCAGAAACAUACCUGAAUUGAAUUCUUGUUUGAUUCUUUUGGUGAAUCUUCAUCAGGUAGUAGUAUUUUAUCGAUAGGCCAUGCAAUUUUCCCAUGUAGGGCAUCACCCAUCUUGGUCAUUUGAGGAGUAGGUCUCCAAAUAAAAGCAUCAGAUUUCACAACCAAAUCCACUCUAAGAAUUGCAGCAUUCGGUCCUAGCGGUACUUGGUUCACUAGUUCAACAGGAUCAGUCGACAACAAUACACCCUCAGAAAUUAAUUCUUUUUCUGAUUUCCAGUAGUCAAAGAUUUGAACUUUUCCAAAGGACGCAUCAGUAGGCUGAAUCAUUAAAAAAGAUAAAUUUAAGUAGUCAUGUAUUCAAUGUAUAUUAGGGAAGAUCUUAACAAUAUAUAAUUACAUCUGAUCCGUUGAUGUUACCAUUGCUUGAUAAGUCAAUAUCAUCGUCCAGGAUUAUCUUAUAAGCUGGCCAUGCAAUUUUCACUCCAACCGCCUGAGCAAGCCUAGCACAAGUUGAUGUAGGUCUCCAUAUAGAUGAUUUUUCUACUGAGACAGACUUCACUACUACAGCAGCCGCAUUUGGACCCAAUGGAAUUCGACCAAUCUUAUAAUAGGGUUCACUAGAGUGGUAUUCUCCUUCAGCAACAACGACAUCAUCAUUUGAAACCCAAUCAAGUAGUUGGCACCUUAUUAAUCCCUUGCUAAUAUCACUUACUUCAUAACUAGAACGAUAAUCGUUUUUUUCCUAACACAGACAGAAAUAAACAAGAUUCUUAAAACCAGAUAGCACUUAAAAGGCUAUAUAGUCAAAACUCUAUUGUAAGGAACUUACCUUUUGGCCGGCUAAGUCUUUGACCACAUUUUGCAAAUCUUCAAUCUUGUUGAUUAGUUCUGCUUGUGUAUCUUGAAGCUUCUGAACAUGGGAGUCUCUAGCAUGUAAGAAUGCCAACUUGGUUGCAGUAACCCCUCUCCCCAUCCCCCUAAUUCUUCCUGGUUUAUCCUUUCCUAGCACCUGCGUGACAGCAUCUUCACCGACAUUAUCUGAACUUGACCCCAUUUCACUGUCAAUUCUCUUAAUCUUCUCCUGUAUUAACAUAUAUAACGACUGUUGUAAAGUCUCCUCAUACUAACAAACUUGCAAGUAAAUUUAAAUCUACGAAAUAAAAUCAUCUUACUAUUGUUUCUGCAAAUUCUUGACUCACAGGUCUUCCAUCAGAAUGCGUGUGACCAGCGACCCAAACCUUUGUUCUAGUUACCUUUCUAGGAUCACUACUGUUUUUCCUCUACAAUUUAUAUGAAUUUGUUGUCAGCAAUUGAAGUUAUUUCUAAUUCCAAAGGUUUGGAAAUUACAAACAUACCAUCUCAUCUGCAAGUCGAAUCAUCCCUUUACGGCUAGUGGUAUGAGGAAUUUGUCCCUUCCUGAGUUCCCUGUAUUUAUCACUUUGUUCCUAAACAAGCACAUUACAAUUUCAGUCAAUUAAUAUUAAUAUACACAGACUCUAAUCAAUCAACUUACUAUAUUACCUUAAAAGCUGUGGUACAUCUUCCUUUAACCCAGUUGUUCCAUGCAGUCGCAGAUUGUAUGUUGCUGGGCUUAAUUAUCUGUAGUUGAGCCUUGUUUUUGGUAGCUCUGACUUUCGAAGACAGUCUGGAUUUAGAGGCCCUCCACAAACAACCCAUCUGCUUAAAAACAACAUCUUUUUGCCAUUCUUCUUUCAAGUUGAAUCUUCCCUGUUAAAGAUUUUGAAGUUAGUAAAAGGCUUACUACAUUAAUCAGAUAUGAAAGAGUUUGAAUAACUUAACCUGAAUUUCCUCCCACAAAGCGUCUUUUGUUUUCUCAUCGAGAUGUCUCCAGUCAUCUAGAAGUACUGGGACAUGCUCUCUCAAGAAAGGACCUAGGAAAGAGGAGAGUGUAACUGAUCCACGACCAACAUGCUCACCUAGAGCAUUAAACUCCACGUCGACCUUGUCCUCUAUAUGCUUAGCUACUUUGCACAUUUUUGUUGGCCCUCUAGUCUUCUUGACUGUGUUAUCGGACUGCUCUGUCUGUGUCUGUCUCUGUGGCUCCGACUGAGUACUGAAUUGUUCUUGUUGUGAUGGUGGUUGUGUUUCAUUGUCGUCAUCUUCAUUAACAUCUCUCUCUGCUUGUGUAACAUCUUCAGGAUCCACACCUUCAUCUUCUGUCUCUGGGGUAGCAUCUUGAACUCCCAUAUCUUCAGGUCCAGUUUCAUCGACUUUUUCAGGUUCUGUUUCUUCCACUUCCUGAUGAUCUGUUUCUUCUUCUGAAUGAUAGUCUUCGUCCAGGGUCGGGAUCGUAGCAUUUUUCUUGGGUUUUUUCUGAACUAAGGAAACCUCAGGACUAACAUCAAGACCUGCUUGGCGUUUACUGCGACGACACUUCUCUGUAACAGCUUUGGAAUUCAUUGCACCAAAUUACCUGAAAGAAAAACAAACUCAUCAUUAUUCAUAUAUUAGUUGACCCUCACAGUCAUUCCUAACACAAAAACUCUCGUCAUCGGAUGAUUGAUCUGCCAUAUCUUCUUCAGGUUGGACUGCUAACGUUGCAGAACAAAUCUCUUCUUCUGUCUUUAACUCAUGAUACCCUCGUGGUGGUGCUCUCAUCACUACAUACCAAGGAGAGCUAUCUUCCUCUCUAGAAUAGAACACUUGUUUAGCUUGCGAAGGCAUAAUGUACGGAUCGUUUGCAAAUGUUGACUGGUUCAUAUGGAGAUUCACUAGUGUGAAACCGUCUUCCUCUUUAAGUCCUCUACCUUUAUGAGCCCAGCUGCACUUAAACAGAGGCACUUGAAACAUGUGAUAGUCAAGCAAAAUGAUCUCCUUUAUCACGCCAUAGUAUGUUACUAUAUCAGCCUGUUGCCUCGAAUCUUUGGCACUAGCUCUGCACAUCGAAAAGGCUUCAUAUGCUACUCCACUGUUCUGUGUCUUCCUCUGCAUAUCAUCUGUACGGUAUCGAUAGCCAUUAACUACAAAUCCCUUGUAGGUGUGAGCAAUAUUUCUUGGUCCAAAAGCAAGCCAUCUCAGCCUUUGCGAAUGGUCCUUGGAGUUAUUUGGUAUCUGAAAAGGAAACAUAUCAGAACAUAUACAUAUCAGAACAUAUACAUACAGAAUUAUUAAUACAAAAAAAAAAUUAAUAAUACCUUCUCUUUAAUCCACUGUGAAAACCUUUCUGUAUGAUACUUCCAUAAGAUGGUUUCAUUUUUUGCACAUCUUACAUCCGUAUUUUGAAGUUCUUCUAAAUGCAUCCUGUAUAUUGAUUAAGUUAGUGUGAGAGAAGAUAAAAACACAUGUAACAAUCUUUGGAGUUUUAACUUACUGAACAUAAUGGUCGAUCACUGCAGUAUUCAUGAGGAUAUACCGGUGAGCAACAUCUCUCUCUUUGUCAGUAAGACUCACUUCUUUUGCUUUAUGCAGCGUUCGGCCUUCAAGAACAUUCUGAGUCGUCUCAACAUCUUCGUUUCUUGUCAAUGCUUCUUCAACUGGAACUGAUUUCUGCAGGAACUCCAUACAAAAUGCAAGGCAUUCACCAGCCAAAUAACCCUCGGCCAUACAAGCUUCUGGUCUUGCAAAAUUCUUGACAAAAGCUUUUAGUGUCUUCAUAUACCUAAGAAUGAAAAUAUAAGAUAUCGUCAGUACCAUAUACAUAUAGUAGCAGUGAUUUGUGUUGCUAGAUGCAGUGGAAGAUUACCUCUCAAAGGGAUACAUCCACCUGAAGUGUACAGGGCCACCCAAGCGUGCUUCUCUUGCUAGAUGGAGUGGAAGAUGAAACAUGAUAUCAAACAGAGAUGGAGGAAAGUAUCUCUCUAGCUGACACAUUGUCUCCACAAUUUCUUCUUCUAGUUUAAUAAUCUUUUCUGGAUCAAUGAUGCGUUGACACAGUCUGUUGAAGUAAUUGCAUAUCCGAGUCACUGCAAGACGAGGACCUCGUGGAAGUAGACCUCUCAACGCAACCGGUAACAGAUUCUGCAUUAGAACAUGAUGGUCAUGUGACUUCAUGCCGCCAAUAGAGGGAGGAUCCAGUGAGACACAGUUGGAGAUAUUGGCACAGUAACCAUCAGGGCCUCUGAAGUUGGAUAACCUUCUGCAAAAUUUCUUUUUUUCUUCCUUAGAAAGCCAAUACGCAGCUGGAGGCAAGUAAGUCUUCUUUCCCCUAACUUCAGUAUGCAAGUUGCUUCUAAUACCCAUGUCUUCUAAAUCUUUUCUUGCUUUGAGGCCAUCCUUUGAUUUCCCACUAUGCAUCAGAAUAGAUAGCAAUGCAUCAGAGACAUUCUUCUCCACGUGCAUAACAUCUAUGUUAUGCCUAACAGGCAUAUCCUGCCAUAUAUUUUACAAGUAUGUAUGAGAAAAAUUAUUCUAAAUAAACACGAGAAGUAAAAUGUUGAAAGAAAAACAUACCUUCCAAUAAGGUAAGUCAAAGAAAAUUGAUUUUUUCUUCCACCUCCAGAGAUCAUCAUCUUCUUCGUACUCGUCAGCUGAAACAACAUCAUCCUCAUCUCCUGUUGUCCUUUUUCGCUUACUCUUCUUACUUAACUUUUUCCCAAAGUCGUUUUUAAAAUCCCUAAGACUAUCACAAAUUUCAGCACCACUCUGAAUCCUAUUUGCAGUACCAAGUUCCACCGUGUUGUCAAACCAUCUUUUCCUUCUUCUAUAAGGAUGAUUAGGCAUGAGACGCUUCCUGUUCCCCAUGUAAACGUGUUUGCGACUAAACUUUAGCCACCUAUGCGGUGUAUCCUUGCCACAGACAUUACAGGCUUGCUUCCCCUUCACUUUACAGCCAGCUAAUGUACCUAAACCAGGAUAGUCGGUGAUACUCCACAUCAACAUAGCUCUAAGAUUGAAACUCUCCUUCUUAAACGAAUCAUACACUGCCAUACCUUCUGUCCACAAACUCUUCAGGUCCUCUAUCAGUGGCUGGAGAUAGACGUCAAUGUUGUUGCUUGGUGCGGUUGGGCCAGGUAUCAACAUUGUCAACAUAAUGUUCUCGGAUUUCAUGCACUGAGUCGGACCCAUGUUGUAGUUGACUAAGAGAACAGGCCAUGUGCUAUACUUGGUGUUCUGGAUGGAGAACGGAUUCAUGCCAUCAGUAGAGAUACCUAGUCUUAGGUUUCUUGCUUCAGCAGCAAACUCCGGCCAUUUGCUGUUAAUCUGACCCCACGUCACUGAAUCCACUGGAUGUUGCAUAGUUCCAUCGGUAGAAGUAUUUGAGGAAUGCCAACACAAGUCCUCCGCAAAACGCUUUGAUCUAAACAUUCUUCUGAACCUGUCUUUUAUCGGAAAAUACCUAAGCACCUUAGCCGGAAUCCCUUUCUUCUCUUCACCAGUAUGCUUAUCCUUCUCCCAUCUUGAUUCACUGCAUCUUGGACAGCUGACCGAAUCCUCAUACUUCUUCCUGUACAAGAUACAGUCGUUCUUGCAGGCGUGGAUGACAUCAUACCCAAACCCAAACUGUUUCAGAAAUUUCUUAACCUCAUCUGUAGACUUAGGUAGCACAUUCUCCUUCGGAAGCAUGUCAUGAAUUAACGCCAAUAACUGAUCAAAAUAGCUCUCAGACAUCCCACUUUUGACCUUAAUCUUGUAGAGUCCCAUGAUCGCAGCAACCUUCGUGUAUUUAGCACACUGAGAGUACAACGGAGUUUCUGCAUCCUCCAAUUUUUUUCUGAACUCAGCUUCUUCUGGUCUGUCAAUACCCGCAAACACCUCUGCACUCUCCUGCUGAGCUGACUGAUGGUCUUCACUUGCCAUGAAAGUUGUUCUAAACAACUCAUACGCCUCAUUCUCAGACAAGUUGAUAUCACAUGGCUUAUCAGGCCUUAUAUCUCCGUGUUUAGACCAGAAUUUACAAAUCUUGUACUUCGGAUCCAUCCCUCUAAUCACAAGAUGCUCGAAAACUGUAUCACUAGACUGAUGGCAGACAUUGCGGCAAUCAACACAAGGGCAGAACAUUUCAGCUGGAACACCUAAACAGCUCGAUGAAGAAGACACAAAGUCACUGGCUCCUUUCUCAUACUCAAGGCUAUUCCUGUCGAGUUACCACAAGUGAGAGAUAAACAGUUUAGCAUAAUGAGAUAUACAAAACGAGAAAUUAAAAGAGUGUGAAGUGAAGUUAAUACCUUGGUAACCAAACCCAAGAUUUAUCCAUGUUUCAGCGCCAAACCAAGUUUACAUACAAGAGAUUAACUUUAUCAACCCACAAAGAACAAAACAGAACGAGAGUUCUUAAAUGGAAUUGUUUUGUUACUAAUUUUACCUGAUAGAUUUCUUGAACUUUGAUUUGACCUAGCUACAAAAGAAGACAACGGUGUUAAUAAACCCAGCAAAUUAUAAUCUUCAUCGAGAAACCUAAAGAGCACAAAAACGAUACCUUAAUCGAAAACUCUGGAACGAUAUCUCCCUGCAACAGAGAGCACAAAAACGAAUCAAUUAAACAUGCAAUUAAAUCACUACUACGAAAGAGAUAAACGGUUAACAAUCGGAAUUGGAGACAAUGUGAGAAAACCCGAGUUCACCUUCGAUUGAUUGGAGAUUGAUUUCGAUCAGAGGGGACGUGAUUUUGCCGAUUCUGGAUGAGAUAAGUAAAGAGCUUGAUAAUUGAGAGUGAGAUUUGAUGUGAGCUAGAUUCAGAGAAAUGAGAGGUUUUGGUUUCAGAUUAUCGAUCGAAUGGAGGAAAUGGGGGAGACACAAAUGAGAGAUGGGAGAACCCUAAUUUUUGGGGGUUUCUAUUUUUAUUUGGAGCUUAAUUGAUUUUAGGAGUCAAAAAAUUUCUAAGUGUCGCGGGCAUUACCGCGCUAACUAAAGAUAACAGUUUUUAUGUUUCUUUGCUAUAAUACAUAAGCAUCUCCUUCAAAACCGUACGUUUAUUUUAAUUUUUUUAAGUCGACAUUCGAACAUAGCGUCUCGUAAAAGGAAAACGCUAUGUUUAAAACACGGGUAUCGAAAACAUAGCAUAAUCGUAAAAAACGCUAUUCUGAUAUGCUAUUAAAGCCCAUUUUUUUGUAGUGAAGUUAAGAACCAGGUUCUUAUAUUCCGUUAAGAACCUCACCUUAAGAAUCCUCAAAUAAUCAUGCUUUAAGAGCAACCACAUUUUGGAAAAUACUAAUAUUUUAAUUAUAUAUUACUUUUAUUUUAUUAUAUUAAGUGAAUUAAUUGAUAGAUGCCACAUGGAAAUUGAGGCUCUAACAAAUGUCUCACAAAUUCAUUUCAAAUUAAAAUUUUGAUACGAGAAUUUUUCACUUGUCUAUUUCCUUCUUUUUAAUAAAUUUAUUUUAGUUAAAUGAAGAGAUAUUGAGUGAGAACCUACGGUAAUGAUUGCUCUACCAUGAUAAUAUCUCUAAUCUCAUUCAAUUUUUUUUGAUCAACACUCAUUCAUUCUCAUUAAAAUAACAUUUUUUUAACCUAUUUUCAUCUCUCCGACCACUUUAAAAUCCUAAACACCUUUUCCUACCGUAAAAAUAUAUAAUUUUGUCAUAAUAUAGUGAAUUAUAAACUUCUAAAUUUUGAAAAUUUUGUAGAAGUUUUAUCAGUUUUUCUAAACACUUUUGCAAAUUCCUAUCUAAACUAUUAAAACAUUAGUACAUUUAGUACUUAGUCCUGAGUUUUCCUAAAUAAUUACUAAAGAAUGCCACUGACCUAUUAAACUGUCGUUUUAGAUUUUUCUUAAACCAACUAAAAUAAAUUGACGUUAUCUCACCUUAAAUUACGUGUAUUUUAAACCUAAAAUCAAAUCACGGGAUACGAGUCGCCUCUUUCUCUCUGAUCACAUCUCCAUCUUUAAAAGAGAGAGCGAUUUCUGGCACAUCGGAAUUUCUUCCGACCAUGGCGAGACUGUUUUGUUUUUGUUUUAUAUUUUGAUCUAUGAUCGACUUUAUGUUGUGAUUUUCAAUAUUCCGAUCAAUUCCUUCAAGUUUAUAUUUCUUUCAUCGGUUGAAGUUGAUUAAAUAAAGUUUCAGUUUUUUUUUUUUUACUUAAGUUUCAGUCUUUCGGGAUGGGUUUUGUUUGUAAUAUAUUGCUCUCGGUUAAGACUGAUUUUCAAUCCAGAUCUUAGAUUGGAUUUAAUGUUGUCUCACCGGUUUCAAUUGAUUUUAUUCCUUCUCUUACUUUUCUUGGUGAAUCUCUUAUGUUUCUAGGGAGUAAUAUCAGAGAUAUCCCUUUGCCGUCAGUCCUGAUUGGGCUGUCUUAAUAUCCUCGCGGUGGUUUUCUGGUGAAGAGGGGAUGCGCUUCUCUAGCAGCUGAGCAUAACCGAUGAAGAGGAAGAUUAAGACGACAAAGGUGAAACGGGCAGAGUUUUGGUUCAAGAUUCAGAUGCAUGAGAUUUGAAAGGUGGACAUUGACGGUGGUGAUCUUCGGAGUCGAAGACUGUUCGAAGCGGUCGGUGACGUGUCCAUCUUGCUUCCUACGAAGACAUGAAUGUAUUUGUGUUUUCGUUUUGGGCCUUGGUCCAAUUAUGAUAUAAUUGACUCAACACAUUAAUAAAACUUCUAUUGCCGGUAAGAAAAAAGAAAAAAUAAAUCCAAAAUCACGUCAUUAUCCCCACAGCACUUUCUAAGUAAUCAAUAGCAAGGAAAUAUGUUUCUGUUUUUUUCCCAGAAAAAACAAUAUAUGGGCUUGGGUCUAUUAUAUAAAGAUCCACAAAGUAAUUGUAAAUUAUGAUGUACCAAAUUUUUAAUCAUAACAAAAUGGCCCAAGUCACUUAAUUAAAUUAGGCUUACUAAAUUAAAUUUUCAACAAGCUGUACUUAUUUUUGAAUGUUUUUUUUUUGUAUACUUGCCUUUUACUAUUUUAUUUAUGUUUUUGUCUAAGUAAUGUAUUUGUUUAAAAAAAAUCUCUAUUUCAAAUUUGAACUUUAUAUUCAACUUUUCAUCAAAAUAUUUAUAGUAUAAUUAAAUAAAAACUCACAAGUAUUAUUAAAACUCUAAUAUUUGACAUUUUAAUGUUUAUUUUACCAAAUAAAAUGAAUAUGAGCACAAUAAAAAAGAAUCUCAUAGUUUAUAAAUGAAGGUUAAACACAUUGAACAAGACACACCAAUGUCAAAACUUAAUAACCUAUGAAUCUAUAACAAGAAUUUAAACAAUUAAAUUUAUGGCAUUGUCAAAAAUUUAAAAACAUGUAAUUAUGAAAAAUAAAACAUUUUACUAUUUUAUUUAUGUUUUUGUCUAAGUAAUGUAUUUGUUUAAAAAAAAUCUCUAUUUCAAAUUUGAACUUUAUAUUCAACUUUUCAUCAAAAUAUUUAUAGUAUAAUUAAAUAAAAACUCACAAGUAUUAUUAAAACUCUAAUAUUUGACAUUUUAAUGUUUAUUUUACCAAAUAAAAUGAAUAUGAGCACAAUAAAAAAGAAUCUCAUAGUUUAUAAAUGAAGGUUAAACACAUUGAACAAGACACACCAAUGUCAAAACUUAAUAACCUAUGAAUCUAUAACAAGAAUUUAAACAAUUAAAUUUAUGGCAUUGUCAAAAAUUUAAAAACAUGUAAUUAUGAAAAAUAAAACAUUUUACUAUUUUAUUUAUGUUUUUGUGUAAAUAAUGUAUUUGUUUUUAAAAAAUCUCUAUUUCAAAUUUUAACUUUGCAUUCAAAACUUUACAUCAAAAUAUUUAUAAUAUAAUUAAAUAAAAACUCACAAGUAUAAUACAAACUCUAAUAUUUGACACUUUAAUGUUUAUUGUACCAAUAAAAUGAAUAUAAGCACAAUGCAAAAAACAAUCUUAUAGUUUAAAAAUAGAGGUUAAACACAUUGAACAAGACACACACCAAUGUCAAAACUUAAUAACCUAUGAAUCUAUAACAAGAAUUUAACUAAUUAAAUUGAUGGUAUUGUCAAAAAAUAAAAACACAUAAUUAUGAAAAACAAAACCCGCGCGCCCGCGCGGGUCAAAAGCUAGUUUAACUUAACAAACAAAUUGUCUGUGUUUGUUACAAGCUCAUGAUGAAAGCUUACACAAGCAAACUUGUUGUUCAUAUAAAUAACUAGAUGAUAAUCCGCGUGCAUGCGCGGAAUGAAUUUUUUGUAACAAUGUUUGGUCAUUAAAUUGUUUUAACAUUUUGCAAUACUACACUUUUUAUCGAUCGUAAAAUGACAAAUACAAAUAUUAAUCUCUUAACUGUAUCAUCAUUGUUCAAGAGUGAAUGUAUUACAACUCAUUUUAAUUAUUUUUAAGAUUUUAUAUGCACAAAAAGAUAUUAAAUUUUGCGGUUGACACAAUUCACCAAAACAAGAUAUGCAACGUCGACUGUAAAAUGACGAAAGAGAAUUAGGUUUUAUGCUCUCGAUUUGUUUACUAUUGACUCUUCAUAAGUGAUUUUAUUUUCUACCUCUAUAAAAUUAUGUUUUUUUUCUCGUUUCUGUUUCACUUAUAUGAUUUUUUUUCUUUUGUGAAUUCGGCGAAUUAUAUAAGUGUCAAUUUAAAAAGAUGAACAUUUGUAAAAAUUAGUUCCACUCGAGAUAGAUAUCUAAAAAUCAAUUUUUUUGAAGAAAAUCAUUGGCAAACUCUAUUCACAGGUUAGUGUUCAAAUCACAUAUACCAAUCUGUUAUUGAAUAUAAGUGUAGACUCAAAUAUAAAUAUUUGUCUAGUAUAUAUUCACCAGUUCGAUAUAAAAAUCAUCUAAUUCCAGAAAAACAAAAUAAAUUACUUAUUUUAUUAAACAACACUUUUGAGUUUUAUUUACUUAAGAGUAUACCGAUAAUAUAUGUAUAGAUAUAAUAAUUAAUCAUUUUUGUAUAUGUAAACUAUGUAUAAACUAAUAACUGUUUGAUUUAUCAAAUGAUAAACCAAAAAAGUUAUAAUAAAUAGUUCAAAUCAUUCAUUAUUACAAUUAUAAUAGCUAGAUAGGAUGUUAGGGAGAAACAAAUAUUAGACGAAUGAUCAAAUCUUUCAUUCUUCGAACAAACUCAAAAGAAGGUGAUUGAAAUCAUGUCAUGAUAUUUCAUUAAAGCUUUUUAGGAAUAAAAAUCAAGACUAAAUUAUUUCACUACAAGAAAACACAACAUUAACGAUGGCGAAAUUCGUAGUAAGUUCGUCGUAAAAUAGGUUUUAAGAGGAAUUAGCGAGGAAACAAGUUUCGUCGGUAUUCGUUCGUUGUAACCCAUUUUUCCUCGCCAAUUCAUCGUAAACUAGCGGGAAACACAUUUCGUCGUAAAGACGAAGAAAAGUAUGCGUCGUAAAAACCACGUAACCUUUCCACGUAAGGAGGAUGCUACAUUUCCUCGUAAAUACCUCGAAAGUAAUUCCUCGUAAAUUACACGUAAACCUUUCCACGUAAAAUACUCUUUAAGCUUUCCUUGUAGUGUUGACGUAAAAGUUUUCCUCGUAACUUCCUCGUAAACUUUCCACGUAAUGUAGUCGAAAUUUAGCUACGAAUUAACUUUGAUUUUUUAGUUUCCAGAAUUAAAAAAUAUAAUUUAAAAAUAAAUGUAAAUAGAAAAUAUUUUAUACAUAAAGAAGUUUUGAAUUUAUAAUACAACCAACGAAAAGAAAAAAAAGAACUAAGGGUUGUUCAUCGCCCGGUAGAAUUCCUCACUCAUCCGCUCUACAUCCGCCUCGUCAUGUGUGCCGGAUGACUCGCCUGGAAUGGGAUUUUGUCGUCGCAUGUUCCUCAACAAGGACUCCUAUUCCGGAUUUGAGGCCGCUACAACGUCCAAGAGGCCCGCGACUCCACCCAUACGAGCUGUGAACGCAGAUCGCGUCGAGUCCAACUCGUUACGCAGCUGUGUGACUUCAUCAACCCGUCUUUGACCAUAAGACGAUGUCGCUCUGGGAACAUCGUUAGACGGAACCAAUCCCCAACGUACAUCCCUUUUUCUUAGGGACAACCUUAAAAACAAAAAAUAAAUAUUGUUAGUAAAAAGUUAAAGUUAAAUUAAAUGAGUAAUAAAAAAAUUUAAAAUUUAAAAACAUUUACCUCCUCGUAAAUCCUAUCCACUUCAAGUGUGGAUAAGGUGAUGGGUAAUCCGUCGGUGGACUGCUGGGUCAGCUGGGUCUGGCGGUCUUCAACCCGACCAACCAAGUCGUUGAAGAUCUGCUCGGACCUAGCAUCGAGAAAUUGGCCCGCCUUGUUCUUGUGGGUCCUCUCGUAAAGUUACAAAAGAGACGGGAGUUCUCCCGUCUCUUUGGCCUAAAAAACAUUUAAAAAGGUUAGAAUAUAUAUAUUUAUAUAUAAAUUAAUUAAAUUAAAUAUUUAAUUACCAUAUCCAGACGGACACUGGCGUGGGGUUUUUGACCCGUAGAGUGAAGCAUCGGCCUGUGGCCGUGCUCAUCUACCGUCUGACGGGAGUCAGAGCAAGAUUCGACGACUCUAAUGGAGUCAGGAUCCCGCCAAUAACGGAUGAGGCCAUCCCACACAUCCGUGGUGAGCUCAGGGGGUUUGCUACGCUCAUACCCCUUCACGAUCCUGUCACCCUUCCAGUUGGAGACCGUGUCCAACAAGCGAGCUUUCGCCUUCGUGUUAAAUGAUUUCUUCACCUUCUCAUUGACCCCCAUGGCCCAAUGACAUUUUUGCUGUAACAGAAAAAAUUAAAUUAAGAAUUAGUUUAAAAAAAGAAAAAAAUCUAAAACAUAAAAAAUUAAAGUAUAUAUAAUUAAUUAAUAGUAACUUACAUCGAAAAUUUUGAACCACGUCUUUCUGACGUAGAUCGGCGUCUUUUUCCAGUUCGGAUGUGGCUUUUUGAACCUUUGAUCGUCUCGGUUACGUUCCGAGCAACACAUCUGUCAACCCCAAACCUGAAAAAACAAAUUUAAAGUAUAAAUUAUUUAUUAUUGUUACAAAAGAAGUUAAAAAGAAUUUUUAAAAAAAUGUAAAGUACCACAAAGUUCCGUCCGGUCGGUCGGGGUCUAGGACUGAUAAACCUUCUCUGCCUGGCUGAGCGAGAAGGUCCUCGACAUGGUACUGCGAGUAAGGAGCACUCGGCGGCACCAUCAAAUCAGGAUGAAUCCCGGCCGGCAUCGGAGGAGGCACAAGAGGAGGCACCUCUGGGACAUGAGCAUGAGGAGCCGGUGGUGCAACGAAUCGAGGAAUCGAUGGUUCACCAGAAGGAGGCGACCAAGAGAUUCUCUGAGAAGACUGAGUCUCGGGGACAGUCUCAGGACCCGAAGAACCGGGAGCUGAAGAAGAUUGGUCUAAACGACUACCAGGCUCACCGAACAUUUCUCUAUAAUGGGGAGUAAGUCUGUUCUUUCAAACCGUCUGGAAAAAAAAAAUUAAUUUUUAAAAUUAACAUCAACAGUAAUUAACAAAUUCUAUGAUUAACAAAUUCUAUAAAUCUAGCUAAAUUCCCUACAUUAACCACCUAAUCAACACUAAUUAACAUAAAAUCCGUAAACCUAUCUAAAUUCCCUAUACUAACCACCUAAUCUAUCCUAAACUAACCAAAUUAGAGAGGAAUCAGAGAGACUUACAAACGUAAACCUAUCUAAAUUCCCUACACUAACCACCUAAUCUACCCUAAACUAAUCAAAUUGGAGAGGAAAUAGAGAGAGUACGUACCAUUGCUACGAAAGAGAGAGGAAGUGGAGAAGAAAUGGAAGUGAGAAGCUUGCGUGUAUAUAUAAGAAAUUAGUAAUCGUCGUAAUUUUCUCGUAAAGUUACGAGGAACUCGCGAGGCCCGUGUUUUUUUUACGAGGAAUUAGCAAGACCCGCGUUUUGUUUCCUCGUAACGUCCUCGUUAAUUUACGAGGAAAUAACAAGGCCCAUGUUUUUAUUUACGAAGAAAUACAAAGGCCCGCGUUUUUCUAUUACGAGGUAUUUACGACGAAUUCUGCUUACGUGGAAUUAACGAGUCCCGCGUUCUUUAUUUUUAGGAUUCGUCGUAAGUUCCUCGUUAGUUUACGAGGAAAUAACGAGGAUUAUGUUUAAAUCUCUAAAAUCCGAAAACCCAAACCCCAUCUUCCUUAUCUUCUGCUUCAUAUAUUCCAAACCCCAAACCCAUCUUCCUAUUAACCUCAAUCUCUUCUUUCCAUUUCAAACCUCAAAUUCUAAAACCACAAUUUCUUAACUUAUAAUCUCAAUCUCUUCUUUCUAAUUCAAACCCCCCAUUACCUUACACAAAAUCAAAGUAUAUAAAUAGAUUUUCAUGAUUAAAUCCAUCAAAUCACAUGCAUUAAGUCUGAAAAUCAAUCAUAUUAAAAACAAAUACAUCAUUCGGAUACAUCGACAUUCUCAUCAUUACUAUAAACAUCAUCAUUUUCAUUAAACUCGUCUUCAACAUCUUCGUCCGUGGCAUCGUCGGUAAGAUCUUCGUACUCAUGAUUAUGCGGAUCAAUGAGAAGGAUGUCAUCAAUUUGUUGUUCAUGUUCCUCGACUUCCAUUUAUCUGUUCUUCUUGCAAUGGUGGUUCUUCUCCACUGAUGAUUCAUCCACGAGGUGUAACUUUGAUCACGGCUAACCAAUUUAUUCCCGAUUCUCUUAUCCGAGGGUAUGGAAGGAAGCUAACUUGGUAUGCUUGUGAAGCUAAGAUGAAAGGCUCGAAUUUGUUGUGCCUGCAAAAAUAAAGACAACGUAGAAAUUAAUCAUACAGAUCAUGUAUACAAAAAAAAGAAUUUGUUGUACAUUCGUCCACCAUUGACAUCAACUACACCGAAUUUUAAAACCGAACACAUAUGUUGACGACGGGGUCAAACCAUUCACAUUUGAAGAUGACGCAUUUCAGCUUCAAUAACCCUGGGAAUCCCCCUUCAAUAAUCUCCUGCAAGAUCCCGUAGAAAUCAGUUUCGCCUUUCACAUAUAUUCCAUAGUUACUGGUCGUCCGCUGUCUACCAUACUCAUAUGUGUGAAAAGUAUAGCCUCGUGUGAAAUACAUCUGUGAUGUGGUCACCUUUGCAAGUGAAGGUUGAAUUACUUCGUGAAACCACGUAGGGUAAUCUUCGUUGUCGUCAUAAUCAACCUGCAAAAAUAAAGAGAACGUUGAAAUACAGAUCAUGUAUGAAAAAAGAGUUUGAUCGAUCAACCUGCAAAAAUUAAGAGUUUGAGUUAAUACCUGAUUCUUCAACCACUUAAUAAAGUGUUGAUCUUUCCUUCUGUCUAAGUCACUUGUGGAUAUACCUGAGAAUGUUUCUUCGCCUCGAGAAACAAAUAGGCUGUAAAAUCACAUUUUAUAUUAAUUAAUCUUUGGAAAUUAUAUAAUUUAUACUUAUAUGUGUUUAGAAGUUUCCAUAAAAUAUGUUACCUUCCAAAAUAACGCAUCAAUGGAUCCUCGCAAUUGAGUAGAAUAUAGGUGUGUGCACUAUGAGCGUCUUCUUCACUCGACCACCAAACCUCUGUCGAUUUCCCACCGAUUCGCUCCAUCUGGCUAAAGAUGUCUGGAACACCAGCAACUGCAUAUGUUGGCGCCACACCACCAUCAUCAUAUCUUCCUGGAGCUCUUUUUCGGGUACCUAAUUUUGACGCAAAGUAGUACGAUGUGAAGUGAGAAGUUUCUUCCGUCAAACUUCCAGCAAUUAUAGAACCUUCAACUUUUGCGAGGUUUUUUGCUUUUCCCUUCAAAUAUUUCAUGGCUCGCUCAUACUGAUACAUCCAUCCGUAAUGUACAGGUCCACGAAGCAAUGCCUCAUAUGGGAGGUGGACAACUAGAUGCUCUAUGACGUCAAAAAAUCCCGGAGGAAAUAUCUUCUCCAAGUUGCACAAUAAGAUGGGAAUGUUCUCGUGAAGUUGUUCCACGACUUCUUCUUUUAGAGUGUGUAUGUCAGAUCCCUGAAAAAUGUGCCAAUGCCUUGAAUAUUCCAAAAACAAUUAAACACAUUAGUAGUCAUAUACUAUUGCAAACUAAACCAUUAUAAAAUUAAUGCGUUAUAAUAUACUACCUGCAAGUGCUUCAUGUACGUUUGUUGGAAGUAGCUCCGCAAAUGCAAAGGGAAGUAGUCGUUGCAUAAAGACAUGACAAUCAUGACUCUUCAUCCCGGAGAACAUUUGACACUUUUCAACACAUCUAGAGAGAUUUGAAACAUACCCAUCGGGGAACUUCACUUCUGAUGCCACCUAGUUGAACAACACCGACUUUUUUCUAAAGACAAUCUGAAUAUCGGAACCGAAACUCGUCCAUUGCUUUUUAUAUGUAACUCACUUCUUGAGCAAAUAUCCGGCAAGUCCAACCACGAUUUUAUGUUAUCUUUUGUCUUCCCUGGGACAUUCAAUAUUGUAUUCAUGAUGUUCUCAAAGAAAUUCUUCUCUAUAUGCAUCACAUCAAGGUUGUGGCGCAGAAGAUGAUCCUUCCAAUAUGGAAACUCCCAAAAUAGACUCUUCUUUUGCCAGUUGUGUCGAACACCAUAAAAAUCAUGCAUAUUACCGGGGACAUUCCAAUUACCACCACAAUGAACUGUUUCGUUAGCUCUGUAGUAACCGAUUUGCGCUUCAAUUUGUUCUCCAGUUAGAUAUGGAGGAGGAGUGUCUCUCACAACCCUAUUGUGCCUAAACAAUUUCUUGUUUCUUCGAUAUGGAUGGCCAAUGGGAAGAAAUCGACGGUGACAAUCGAACCAACUUGUCUUCCUACCAUUCUUCAGUUGAAAUGCAUAUCUCGUUCCAUUACAAUAAGGACAAGCUAAUCUCCCAUGUGUAGUCCAUCCAGACAACAUUCCAUAGGCAGGAAAGUCACUUAUGGUCCACAAAAGCUUCGCUCGUAUCGUAAAAUUCGUCUUCGUUGAGCAGUCAUACGUCCUCACCCCUGUUGACCACAAAUCCUUCAACUCUUUUAUCAGUGGUUGUAGGAAAACAUCAAGAGACAUUUUUGGAUGGUUCGGACCAGGUAUUAAUAUGGUCAAGAAUAGCAAUUCCCGUUGCAGGCACAUCUCCGGUGGCAGGUUGUAUGGCGUAAAAAAGACUGGCCACAAUGAAUAUUGUCUCCUUGACAUUCCGAAUGGACUAAAUCCAUAUGUGCAUAAUCCGAGAUACACAUUCCGGCUAUUGCCUGCGAAUUUUGGAUGUACUUUGUUAACAUGUUUCCAGGCUCUUGCAUCUGAUGGAUGAGUCAUCUCACCAUCUGUCUGAGUAUGCUCGGCAUGCCAUCUCAUCCCUCUGGUAGUCUGCUCAGAUUGGUACAAUCUUUUUAAUUUGUCUGUAAUAGGUAGGUACCACAUCCUUUGGUACGGUACCCUAUUACGUCCUCGUCCUUGCUGCUUGAAUCGUGGCUUCUUGCAGAAUCGACAUUCUUCUAACUUCUCAUCAUCUCCCCAGUAGAUCAUGCAAUUGUCGAUGCAAACGUCUAUCAUCUCCGAAGGCAACCCAAGACUAUAAACCAGUUUCUGAAUCUCAUAAUAAGAAUCAUCAGACACACUGUCUUCCGGCAAAUAUUCUUUAAACAAGUCUGCCCAUUCAUGCAUGCAACUUUCAGGUACAUUGUGAUCAGUUUUAAUAUUCAUCAUUCUAGCAGCCAACGACAAUUUAGAGAGACCUUCUCUACAACCACUGUAAAGUGGCUGAUUCGCAGCAUCUAACAUUUCAUAAAACUUUUUUGCAUCUAUGUUACGUUCUUCAUCUUCAUCAUGAGCUACGAAUGCAUCAGCUACCAUAUCAUGAACCCUAUCAUAAUCUACCAUUUGCUCCUCCUGAUGGUAACUAUGUUCGUUAUGCAAAUAAUGAUCAACUGGUUCUUCCUGAAAAUUGCUAUUACUACUACUAGCUUCAUUCUCAUAAUUAUAACCUUCUCCAUGUUGAAACCAGAUAUAGUAAUUUGGCGUGAAACCUCUAUUUAUUAAAUGCUUUUAAACAUUUUCACAAUUUGCCAAUUUCGAAUUGUUGCAUUUCCGACGAGGACAUAAUAUCUUACCGCUUUCUUGGGUGAACGGUGUAGAAUCUGCUUGAUGCAUAAAUGUCUCCAGCCCUUCGAGGUAAACAUUUCCUACAAGGACAGAAUAUUUUACCGCUUUCUUGGGCGAGCGGUGUAGAAUCUGCUUGAUGCAUAAAUGUCUCCAGCCCUUCGAGGUAUUAUUUUGUCACUCUCCCGUUAGCAUCUCUGUGCAUAUACUUCCACCUCCGCAACUCGAAAAUAUUUCCGGAGCCCGACAUUUUUUUUUCUUUCACAUUUUUAUUUUUUCUGCUUGGUGUGUUUAAAAUGAUGUUCAAACGUCCAUAUUUAUAGGAAAUUUUCGAAUCUGGUAGUUGAAUGAAAUUUAGUUAGGUAGCCGAGACAAAAAAACGUGAUACAACUACAAAGUUGGUGGAUUCGAAAUUUUGUCGUUAAGUAAACGUAAAAUAUUUCCUCGUAAAGUAGACGCUAUUGUUGCGUCGAGUUUACGAGGAAACCCUUUUUCCUCGUAAAAACCACGUUAUGUUACGUCGUUUUUACGAGGAAAUUGUUUCGUCGUUAUUUUACGACGAACUAACAUUAAUUUUAAAUUUCUACUUAAGAUACUCGUAAAGUCGACGUACAUUUCCUCGUUAAUUUCCGUCGCUAUAGUUCUGUUUUCUUGUAGUGUUUAAUCUGAAUGAAAUCUAUAUAUAUAAAAAAAUGUUCGCCUCCUUCCUAUUGCGCAACGUCAUAAAGUCGUUGAUUGUGAGUGCGACACCUGUUUUCUUUGCCUAAAACUCAUCGUUUCAUUAAGUUUUGAUGUGGACUGCUGCGUUUCAUAAUUGUUUACGGUCUAGUGGCCUUUUUGUUCACACCGUGAUAUAGCCCAAAUACAGAGAGAUAGCCACUAUAAUGAAAACAUAUGUAAAGAAUGAAACUUUGGAAACAAGAAGGAAAAGAAGGAGCGUACCGUGAGUUUCUGGAUGCUACUGACUUCGCUUUGGUUGGAGGCGAUAUCAACGGUGACGGUUCAUUUCGCCGCAACCGUAACUCAAUAACAUUCAAGAGUUUAAAAUUAUUGGCGAUGAGUUUUGCAGAGUAUGAAGAGGCAGAGGGAAGNNNNNNNNNNNNNNNNNNNNNNNNNNNNNNNNNNNNNNNNNNNNNNNNNNNNNNNNNNNNNNNNNNNNNNNNNNNNNNNNNNNNNNNNNNNNNNNNNNNNUGGUAGUUGUAAUUUUGCUAUGAAUUUACGACGAAAAUUAAUUAGGUGGGGAAAAAAAACGUGUAACACCUAUAAAGUUGGUGGAUUCAAAAAUUUCCUCGCUAAAUACACGUAAACUAUUCCCUCGUAAAUACCACGCAAAGUUUACGUCGUAUUUACGAGGAAAUAGUUUUUCCUCGUAAAAUACUCGUAAAAUUACAUCCACUUUACGACGAAACAGUUUUGUCGUUACGUUACGAGGAAAUAACGAUGACUUUAGUUUUUCACGUAAAUUCGUCGUAAACUCGACGCAAAUUUACGAGGAUUGUUUUUCCUCGUUAAUUUUCGUCGUUAAGCAUGUGUUUUCUUGUAGUGCGAGUGUUUAGUCGUUAAAUCAAAUAUCUUAGAACUUAUCACUAACUGCAAGGUUUUUGCAUCCAAAUUAAAAAAAUGAUUUUUUUUUUGUUUUAUCCUUAUUUAAUAGGUUAAUUUGUUCGAUUUUGUUAAUUAAUGAGCUAAAGAUAAAAUAAAAAUUGGAAUUUUUUUUUAAUAUUUGUUUGAAAAUAUAAAGUGAUAUUUAUAAUGAAACAAAUUUAAAAAGUUAAAAUGACACUCAGUAUAAACAGAAGGAGUAAUAUAUUUUAUUGUAACGUGUCAUGGAUUUUUAAAACAUCUUUGUUCUUUUUGUUUAACACUCAACUAGACCGUGAUCCGCGCGCCAACGCGGAUAUAAAUUUUCGGUUUUUGGUUAUUUAUUUAACUAAAUGAUGUAUUUGUAAUAUUUGAUGUAUUAUAUUCACCAAAGACCAUAUUAUGAAAGCCCAUGGUGUAACCGUUUUUUUCCGGGAAGUGUAACAAAAAAAAUUACAUUUAACUCUUCAUUUUGUUUAAGUUCUGUGUCGGUAAAAGAUUAAAAAAACAUCUCUAUCUUUUUCAAUGUUCAAUUUGAAGCUUAUUAUGCGAAAAUCAUACGCAAAUAUAGGCAAUUGGUUGGAAUCUCUAUAUCUUUAUAUUCAUACACAUUUUAAAUUUAUUGUUCCUCUUCUGCAAGCAAAUCAAUUACCGGAAAAAUAGAUCAUUUGGUUGUAAUCAAAUCUAUUCUUAUAAUUAGUGUAAUUAUGGUUACAUUUUCUAUAUUUAAUAGGUACAUUAAAGAUACGACAUUGAAGAUAUUCUGUUUUGAUUAAUAGAAGAUAUUGGAUUUUGAGUUUGUAUUUAUUGAUUCGUUUUUUAUAAAGCUUAGAAAAUCAAUAGGAUGAUUGGUUGGUUGAUACUUCCUAUAAGGAAAACGAAAACUAUAAGUGGUUUGAAUAUUAUACAUCGAUCGAUGCAUGAUGUAAGUUGACUAUAUAAAACUUGAGCAUGAUCAUUUCAAACUAAAGUAUAGGAAGGUUAUAUGCAUUUGUUAUAUUGUAGUUAAUAUAUUUUAAAUAUUACAUACGUGAAGUGAUUCACGUUUUCGUAAAAAUAAAAUUCAAGUUCAUUAUUGGGUCGUACUCGUCCGUAAUAAGCUACGUUAAAUAUGAUGUAUUUUUAGGUUCAUUUAAUGACAUUAAGUUUAAAUUUCAUUAAGGAAAACUCAUUAAUUUAACUGAAAAAGACAAGCAUUAAAAUAUUUAGGUUCAUUUAAUGACAUUAAGUUUAAAUUUGAUUAAGAAAAACUCAUUAAUUUAACUGGAAAUGACAAGCAUUAAAAUAGGUAGUUUAAUUUAAUUCUUAAUGGCUGGGAAGUGUAAAUAAAUUAGAAAACUUAGGGGUGUUUUUUAAUAGGUACUUCUCUUUUAAUAAUAUAGAUUUUUUAUAUCAUAUUAUCAUCAUUAAGUUGGGCCUGGAUAAUACAAUACGCUUGUGAGGGUUGAGACGGAGUGUUAGUGAUAUGAAACGUAACUUGUUUGAGAACGGGCUGUUUCUUUUUUUUUAAUAUUAUACUAUAUUCAUUCGACCCGUAAACCAGGAAUUUGGUUCUAAUUACAAACCGUCUCGUACAAAAUAACUCAAAUUAAACCGUUUUUAGGUAGUUUCGUUCGACUUGCAAUCCGACACAUUCCACUAGUUUGGAUUCAACCUCAAUGAAAAUCGAGAGCCAUUCUCAACUUUUGAUGAUUACCCCAGAAAGGUGAGAUGCACCUCGUUAUCUCAGAUGCCGAGUCUAACCCAGUCAUUUUCGGUGUAGCUAACUUCCGAUGAACUUGUCUAAGCUCGUAAUUGUCCCCAACACUGAAGCUCCAGACGACUGAAAGAGAGGUACUGCAAAGACACUAACCAAGUAUCUGAUAGCCAGAUUGUACACCCGUGCCUUCGUCGCCAAAGCGGGUCUGAUCUUGACACCAAAACCUAUUAUGGAAACUCUAAUGACCUGCACAAAGCAGCCAAUAAUACUACCAAUCGCAAACCAAAUCCAGGAAAGAGCUCUCGGCCUCGACGUAAACACUAAUACAUGGGGAGUUUCUUCUGGAAUGUUCGUGGGUUCAAUAAAAGUUUAAAACAUUCCGUGAUAGAAGAGUGGGUACGAGGGAGUAAUCUGAGUUUUGGGUGCAUUUUGGAGACAAGAGUAAAAGAAAGUAAGGCAGGGGAGAUUUUGAAGAAGGUUUUUCCGGGCUGGUCUUAUAUAACAAAUUAUGAGCAUAAUAGGGGAGGCAGAAUUUGGUUGGUUUGGAGGGAUGAUGUAAGUAUGACUCCAGUGUAUAAAUCAGAUCAGUUUAUAACCUGUUCUGUGGAGCUGCAGGGUCAAGAAGCUUUUCUUUACACUGGAGUUUAUGCAAAAAAUUUGGCUGAAGAUAGGGUGGAACUUUGGGAGGAUUUGUGUCAUCAUAAAGACUCUGCUAUGUUUAGUGGUAAAGCUUGGAUGAUAGUAGGUGAUUUUAAUGAGAUUUUGGAUGGGGAAGAGAGUUCUGCUUAUCUGGAGGCUGGUAGAAUUUCAGGAGGUAUGAGGGAUUUUCAAAAAAUGGCGUUGCACUGCAAACUUUCUGAUAUGGGUUAUCAAGGAGCUAAAUUUACGUGGUGCAAUAAGAGAGAGGUGGGUGUUAUUUGUAAGAAGCUGGAUAGAGUUUUGCUUAAUGAUAUUGCUAUCCAGAGGUUCUCGUCUGCUUAUUCAAUCUUUGAGGCGGGAGGUUGCUCUGACCAUCUACGAUGUAAGAUCAAUCUCUUUCCUACUGGAGAAAAGCUGAGGAAGCCGUUUAAAUAUGUAAAUGCUAUUGGGAAAUUGGAAGUUUUUCUUCCCUUGGUGAGGGAGUAUUGGGAUGGGACUCCGAGACUAUUCCAUUCAACUUCUGCUAUGUUUCGUUUCUCAAAGAAGUUAAAGGGGUUGAAGCCACUCAUUCGGGAGUUGGGAAAAGAGAAGUUGGGGAAUCUCACCAAGAAAGCAAAGGAAGCGCACGGGUUGUUAUGUGAGAAGCAAAAUCAGACUCUUGCUAUGCCAAGUGACUUGGCUAUUCAGGAAGAAGCAGCUGCUUAUGAACGUUGGCUUCAUAUUGCUAGUCUGGAGGAGGAUUUUCUGAAGCAGCGUGCGAAGCUUCACUGGCUAGACUUGGGGGAUCAAAAUAAUACGACAUUUCAUAAUGCCAUUCGUUCUCGUAAAGCGCAAAAUUCCAUUCGGGAGAUAAAGUGUAAAAAUGGGAGCACGGUUACUCAGCAGAAGGAUAUAAAAGAAGAAGCAGUUCAAUUCUUUUCUGAAUUUCUUAACCGUAUACCUGAUGGCUAUACUGGUGCAUCUAUUGAAGAACUGAAGGAGCUGUUGGAAUUUCGGUGUUCAGAAGAAGACUGUACUCUGUUGGAAGCAGAGGUUACUGCAGAUGAGAUUCGUAAAGUUGUGUUUGCUAUGCCGUCUAACAAAUCGCCUGGUCCGGAUGGUUUUCCCAGUGAGUUCUUCAAAACCUCCUGGUCCAUUGUUGCUCAGGACUUCACUAUUGCUGUUCAAUCAGUAUUUAGAUAUGGAUUUCUACCAAAAGGAGUAAAUUCGACAAUCCUAGCUCUUGUGCCAAAGAAAACUGAUUCACUGGAGAUGAAAGAUUUUCGGCCUAUAGCUUGUUGCAAUGUGCUCUACAAGGUGGUUUCAAAAAUCUUAGCAAACAGGCUAAAGAGGUUGCUCCCGCGCAUCAUCUCUGAGUGUCAAUCUGCUUUUGUUCAGGGUCGGUUGCUAAUGGAAAAUGUUUUAUUAGCAACAGAGUUGGUGAAAGAUUAUCAAAAGGAGUCUGUCUCGCCGAGAUGCGUGAUGAAAAUAGACAUUUCAAAAGCGUUUGAUUCAGUGCAGUGGUGUUUUGUGCUCAAAAGUCUGGAAGCUAUAGGAUUCCCGGAGAGAUAUAUUCACUGGAUCAAACUCUGCAUUUCUACUCCUUCGUUCUCGGUUCAGGUGAAUGGAGAGCUUGCGGGGUAUUUUCAGAGCAAGAGGGGAUUGAGGCAGGGGUGUUCGCUCUCCCCAUACCUAUUUGUUUUGUGCAUGAAUGUUCUCUCACACAAAAUAGACAAGGCAGUGAAAGAGAGGAGGUUUCAGUUUCAUCCUCGGUGUAAGAACCUUUCUCUUACUCAUUUGUGUUUCGCGGAUGAUCUAAUGGUAUUUGUGGAAGGGACAAGAGAGUCUAUAGAGGGGGCAUUAUCAGUGUUUGAUGGGUUUGAGAAAUGGUCGGGACUGUGUAUAAGCCUUGAGAAGUCGACUAUCUAUAUGGCUGGUAUUAAAGAGGAGGAAAAGAGUAGUAUAUUGGUCAACUUUCCUUUUGCUGUGGGUACACUUCCUGUGCGCUACUUGGGGCUUCCUCUCCUAACCCAAGCAAUGAGGAGAUCUGACUAUCUUCCGUUGGUGGAAAGGAUUCGGGGGAAAAUAUGUUCGUGGACCUGUCGGGUUUCUUUCAUAUGCGGGGAGGCUUCAGUUGAUUCAAUCAGUUCUUAUGAGUAUAAUAAACUUCUGGGCAUCUGUUUUCAGACUUCCUAGCAGGUGUAUGAAGGAGGUAGAGCAGUUAUGUGCCUCUUUUCUUUGGACAGGACCAGUUUUGAAGUCAACUGGUGCAAAGGUUAAUUGGGGGGAAAUCUGUAAACUUAAGAUUGAAGGAGGUCUUGGGGUACGAGCUUUAAAAGAGGUGAAUACUGUGUAUGGUCUAAAGCUAAUUUGGAGGAUGCUUUCGGCUGACUCUCUAUGGGGUAAAUGGAUAAAGAAGUAUUUGUUGAAGAAGAGAAGUUUCUGGGCAGUAAAAUCAAACUCUCAAAUGGGAUCAUGGAUGUGGAGAAAGAUGUUGAAGCUUAGGGACAUUGCAAAAGAUUUCUACAAAAUGGAGAUUGGGAAUGGAAGACAUAUAUCAUUCUGGUAUGAUUGCUGGUCGGAUAGAGGUGUGAUGUUUGAUCUUUUGGGUGAGAGAGGCAUCAUAGAUUUGGGUAUAAGAAAGGAGGCUACUCUCGAGGAAGCGAUCAUGAAUUUGCGUAGAAGAAGGCGCCACAGAUCAGAUAUUCUUCAAGAAGUUGAAAGGAUACUUGAUUCGGUGAGAAGUAAUAUUCAGGGUGAGAGAGAUGAUGUCAGUAAUUGGAAACGGAGGUCGGGAUUCGGAGGGGCUUUCUCAACUAAUGAAACCUGGAUGAUGAUAAGGGAGACUAACGUGCAGUGUGACUGGUCUCGGGGUGUUUGGUUUGCAAAAGCAACUCCCAAAUUUGCAUUUACAACCUGGCUGGCUAUGAAGGAUAGACUAUCCACAAUGGAUAGGAUUAUGAAAUGGAGCCAAGGAGUUGAUACUGCAUGUGUGCUAUGUAAGGCUGCUAUAGAGACUCGCAAUCAUCUGUUUUUCGAAUGCUCUUAUGCUUCACAGCUAUGGGAGUAUCUCGCAAAGGGUAUAUUGCUGGGUAUCUAUUCCAUCAACUGGUCUUCAUUGGUGAGGAUAGUUACAAGUGGAAGUUUGGAUAAAAAGGGAAUGUUCUGCAUUAGAUAUGCUUUCCAGGCUGCUAUCUAUGCUAUUUGGAGGGAGAGAAAUCGUAUCAGGCAUGGGGAGAAACCUUUACCUAUUGCCAUGCUACAAAAGUUUACUGAGAAGGGGAUUAGAAACAAGUUGAGUUUGAUGAGUACAAGGAAGAGGAGAGGUUUAGAGACUGCUCUUCAAUUUUGGUUUCAAACAAGACUUUAAAUAGAAUGUUAGAAAUAUUUUAAAGUUUGAUCUUAGUUUUUAAAAAGGAUUACACAGAAUGUAAAAAGGCUUUUUUGGUGAAUAAAAUUUAACAUUUAUUCAAAAAAAAAAAAAAAAAAAAUCAUUUACCAUCAGUACUGGAAUGUGAAACAUAACUCAAAAGUGACACCGUCAUGACCAAGACAUAGUCGGUACGCCUUUUGUCGACUUCGAGAACCAAAGUAUCAGAUGCCCGUGACUCGUUAAGUAAUCCACUUGUGUCGAUGGUGAAGCAACCGAACAAGAAAACCUAGAAUCAAACUCCGACAAGGAAGGCCAUUGCCACCAAGAAAAAGGUCCAGAAAGUGACAACAACGAGGAAUCUGAAGUGAGAAGGGUUUAUCGAGUAGCUACUAGAAGGCCAUAGACGACCACUUUUCGAUGAUCUCAGACGACCCUAACGAGCUGGAGCCAGGGCAGGGUACCAUCACCUCCUGCAUACAAUGAUCCUCAGCUCACCUCCGUGACAACCAAUCGUCGGAGCUCACCUGGCUUGAACGAAAUAUGAAGCACAUCUCCACGACACCGUAGAGAUCCAGAGAACCAAACGCCAAAGCCCACUGCCAUCUCCGAGCUAGUUACUGCAUUGCCGCAACCGCCGAACAGAGGAGUCGAUCCGACAUCCCCGCAACUGAGAAUUGAGACCACGAGACAGAUCUAGGAAGGAAAAUAGAUCUGAACCAUACCCUAAAAGCCGAAUUCCUGCAAGAAACCGUGCCAUUCCUCUGUGCUUGAACUCCAGAGCAAGUGAAUCACCGCCGAUAUCAAGCAUCCUCGUGAGCGGAGAAAAUUCCAAAAUAAGAAACCCAGACCCAUAGUGGAGAGAAAGACGAAAGAGGUUGAGACACAGAAAAGGUGCAAAGCAGGAAGAGGCGAGGAGAGAAAUGAUGACUCCAAAUGGGUUUGUCCAGUUGGACAAUCUCAUUUCCUGGACAUGUAUAGUCAAAGCCCAAAUAGACUACGUCCAAACAAGACCAACCCUAAUUAACACCAUAACCUUAUGUAUCAUUCUUGACUUCAAAUGCUAAAAUACAUGGUCAAGCAUUGAUCCCUACAGACGCCAUUUGGUAACCUUAUGUAUCAUUCUCUUCUCUUCCUCUUUCUCUAUCUCUAUCAAACAUAUUCAUUUGGGUGCAUUAUCGACUCUUUUUUUUUGAAACAGCAUUAUCGACUCUUUAUUUACCAUCGCCGGUGAUAGCAUCGAGUGGGCCAAAGAUGAAAAUAGCAUGGAAGAGAAGAGCCGGCGUUCAACUGUUAAGUAUAAAGAAAAUGAUCUUCCGAAAAGAAGAAUAGCAUAAUAGUUACACCCCCUCUGCUUAAAAGUUGUGUUGACCAUGGUCUUAUAAGUCACCACUGUGACUGAUAAUUUACAUGAUUGAACUUUUGCUCUGUGCUGACUUACUAUAUUGGACUAUGGAUUUAUGCCUUUUGUUUUUUAAUUAAAUGACAGAAAGAAUGUGUUAUAUAUAUACACACAUAAGAUAUUUCUACAGAUUUGUUAUGGUUGUUGUUUGCAAGUUGCCGAGCUUUAACGCACAAUUGCACAACAUAAUGGUUUUAACAAACUCUUGAGAAAGAUGAUAGCCUGGACUAAUAAGAAACCAGAAAGAUGACUGUAGAGAAGCACCCUAUAAUGCUUGAUGAAAAUUAACAUGCACAGCGUAAAUUUCUUACGGGUGAAGAAUAAGUAACGAACCUAAAUAAGGAAUAAAAAACACUAACACUAUAGAUAUGAAUAAAUAAGUUGUAGCCCAAAAUGGACACAAAUUAACCAGUAACUUACAAGCAUAACGAACAGCAACACAUCAAACACACACACCCGCGCUUGCGCGGGGUUGAUGAUCCCUACUGUGGAUUAAUUUCAUACUACAGUUCGAAAUGCUUAUACCUUUUCAUUGUGAAAUACUUUGUUUCAUUUAAUAAAGAUUAAAGAUCAUAACUGAAAUGUUGACUUUGCUAGGAAAAAUAAGAAAAUCGAAUUUAGUUUGCCGCAUAGUUCACUAGAUAUGCGUUUAAGUUAGAUCAAAUUUCAAUUUUGGUAUAACUUAAUGUAACCAAGAACAAAUGUGUAACCCAAAACGAUAACACGUUAAAUCCUAGUUCUAGGCGUUGAACACAAUAGCUUUAAUAAAGAGUUCUUCCUUUAUUAAUGUUUAGAAAACUUCUCAAAAACUAAACACAAGCUAUUAUCUUUCUUAUUUUUUUUAUGAGAUUCUCUUACAUUAGAUCUCCUUAUAUAGGUAAUAGGGAUCCUUAACUUAACCUAUUGCACAAUGAAUUAGGUCUUUCAUUUUUCCUAAUUCUAAUAACUUUAGUUAGUUAUCCUAAUUCCUUUAAGGAUAACUUCCUUUUCUAGUUAUCCCAAUUACACUUAAGGAUAACUUUCUUUUCUUCGUGACUUCUUUUUUAGUAAUGUUGAAGCUUAUCUCCAACAUUAUCCCCCUUAAGCUUCAAUCUUCCAUUGCUAAGGUCUUGAACUCGAAUCAGCUCCCUCAUUUCUUUGAACUUGAUUCUUGCCAACGCCUUAGUCAAGAUGUCCGCGCCUUGAACACUUCCUUGAAUGUGUUCAACACCAUGCACACGUCCUUGCACAUGUUCUUGUAGAUAUUCCUUGACUACAAGUCGGGCAUUGAUCUUGUUGAUAGUUCCAUCCGCAUCUUUCUUGAUCUUGAACACCCAUUUGAGACCAAUGACAUUUAUAUGACUUGGUUUAUCAACUCGAAUCCAAAUCUUGUUCUUGUUGAUUGAGAUGAUUUCUUCCAUGUAAGCAUCUUUCCAUUCUUUCAAGUCUUUAGCUUCCUUAAAGCUCCUUGGCUCAUUAUCCUUUGAUAGUAGAAGUGUUGCAGGCUGGGAAUCAGGGUGGACGAGAUGGAUGAUGGAAGCUUGGAUGGGUCGACCAAAGAGAUGAUCGGAUGGGCGAUAUGAAUGGAAUGCAAGUUGUAAACCUGAAAACAAAUGCAAAACAAAUGAGAUGUGAAUUCUACUAUGAUAAAACAAGAUAAAUAAAGAUAGAUAUGAUGGAAUUAGGCUGCUGGUCGUGUGACACUCUCAGCCUAAUCAGUUGAUGAUUGAAGUGGAUUGAGAUGGUGCUUUGCCUGCUGGAUGUAUAUCACUCUCAAGCUUGACAAACGAAUUGGAAUGGAAGGAUGGUGAAUUGAGGACGCCACAAGACUCUAUGGAAAGGAGGCUUGAUAAGUCAAGAUUCUCUGGAGCUGCUUCACACACACUCAAAAGACUUAGAACAAUAGUUUUGACAAAACUAGAAAAACUGAAUAAUUCUUAUUACUUUAAAAAAUUGGUGAUUUACAAUGAAGCAACGACUAGAGCUUUAUAGGGUCAACUAAGAAAGACUCUAACAGUCAUAAAAUGAUAAAAGGAAACAAAAUAACUUGAACUUAAAGUCUUGGGAGCAAAGGCUUUGAUGGCUCCAUGGAAUAUAGCCGUUAGGCUUGAUUUGCUUCCUUCCAAAAGAGAAACUUGUGAAGACUUGUAUCUUGAUAGCUUCUGGACGUGGACAUGAUCUUCAAGCCUUCCUGAAAUACUCAUUGGCCUCAAUAAAAGAGAAUAUGGCCGUUGGUCUUGGGCAAAAAUCUGUAGAGACUUCCUCGAAGCAUUUAGUGUAGUUGCUGCCAAAUAUGGAAGGUUGAUGGGAAGAGAGAUCCGCCUGAUCUCCUAGGUGCUGGUGCAGCUGAGGGCUUCUUGGAUGUCUUAUGUAUGUUUGAGAAGAUCUCCUGGCUUCCAUGAAUAAGUCUGGGUCGAACCAAGUGGAGUUGGUUGAAGACUUUCCAUAAAUAAUAUCGUUUUUGCCAAUUUGAGUAAACCGGCUUGAUCUUUUGGUUUGAUUGGGAUCCGCCUGAUCCAGUGUGGCAUGGUGCUUCCUAGGAUGUUGUGGAGUGCCUCUGAAUGACUUAGAAGUUCGCCUGGUUGCCAUUAUUGAGGUUGGUUUGAUGUGAACCCCGGAUCUUCCAAAUAAGGCAAGUGUAGAACUGGUUUGGCCGGUUUUGGGAAAUUGAUCAUAUCUCCUAAUUUCCGGGACUAUUUCUCCUGAUCUUGGGCUUUCUGGAAAGUUUAUAAACUCCUCUUGACUUCUAUGAUCGGAUUUGGUUCAGACCGCUUCUUCAUUGGGCUUGAAUCCUCUUCUAAAGUCGGGUACACGCAGAUGGACGGGCUAAGAAACUUCUGACUUGUAAAAUUCAUAACUUCUUCCUACGUGAUUAUUUCGGCCCAAUUCCAAUUUUCAUGGACUUCUUCUAGAGUGUAGAAUCCAUAAAAAUUAGCUUCGUCAUUUAAAACCUCCUGGUUUGUAAGAUAUGACAUUUUUAGUGCACGUAUGUCCUGGUUGGCGGCUUAGCUGGUUGAGUAGGGCUUUGGGUUGACCUCUGGUUCAGUUGCUGAUCUGAUUGCCGCAUCACACCCUCCCCCUUGACAAAGGUUCGACCUCGAAACUGGAUAACCUGCACAAAGAUAGAGCAAGUCAGCUUUCAUAUUCUUUUGAGAUUCUAAGGUCUUACCUUGAUAUUAUUUCGGUUUGGGGAUGGAUUGUGCAUCAGGUGGCUCUUCUUUCAGCAAAUAGGAUAUGAUCACGCCUCUGCUAUGGACUUUGGCAUUGCCUCUCUUCUUCAGUGGAUGGUCCUUCAUACUCCUACUAGGCUCGGUUCUGACCAUCUUUGGGGUUGAUCCUCCUAGCAACAAAAGAUUAUCCGGUGGGAUUUCUUUGAAGCUUUCUUCUUUGCAACCUGAAAAUUUUUCAACAUUCUGGACAAAGACCAAGUGAAUUAUAUCUGAUACUGGAGUUUCAUGAACAGAAUUUUUUAUGGUCGAAUUUACCUUGGAUGCUUUAGCAUGAUGAAAAAUGAUAUUCUUCCUUGGACAAGUUUGAUUUGGUGGCUGCCUUUCUUGCAACUUUCGAUCUUGGUUGGUAUGAUCACCUUCUUUUGAUAGCUCAGUUCGGUUUUUAUGUUCCUCUUGACUUAUCCCUGGAUCAAAACAUCUUGGUAAAGACAAGUAUAUUAUACCAAAAUAAAGGGAUUUAUAAAAUGAUAUAAACAUAGAACAAUUAACCCUUAAAUCAGUUGUGGCAGCAAGAACUUCUUGUUCUUUCUUUGCCUUGUACUCACCUUGGUUUCCUGUAAUAAUUUCACUUUUCCUUGGACAAGACAAGUGCAUUAAUCUUGUCAUGGAAUUAAUAAUAUCAUGAUGAUCUAGAGUGAAAUUUACCUCAGGUUUUGGCACUUGAACAAUCUUUUGUUCAGAUUUCGGUUUCCACUUGUGGUGUGGAUUUUGAUUGAGCUCAUGUUCUGGUUCUGUCCUUGUAACCUCAGUAAGCAUAUGGCUCUCAUCUGGUACCCCUGUACCAAGAAGAUUCACGUUUAAACCAGUAGCUAAAGGAUGUGUUAGACUCUUACCUUGGUUUGAUACUUUUAUUACUGGUUUUGCUUCUUUAAGCAAAUUUGAUUGCUUUUCCUUCUGGUCCAUUAGAAGGUUUGCUCUUAGUGUGUCAUCUACAUGGGAUCUAGACUCUUUAGUACCUGUAAUAACACUCUUGGACAAAGACAAGUGCAUCAUACAAGUGGCAGAUGAUUUAUGAACAAUAUCAUCAAGUAUAGGACUUACCUUAGCCUUUACUUGCAUAGUAGCAUGCUCUUGUUUUUCUUUGGACCUGAUCAAAGUGUUUUGGCCGACACUUUUACUCAUCUUCAUGGCCUUUGGGAUGUCACUCUUCUGGUCUAAGCAGUGGACAAUGGUGUGCCCUUGGUUUGGCUGAAAGUAGUCUUGUUGAGGCAAGAUUCUUUGACCUUCUUGUGCCACAAUUUUUCUUGCUUCUUUGAAACCUUGAGUUAGAUACCUCCUUGGGAAUAGUUCUUGGAUUUCAGAACUUGUAAACUCUGGUGCAAACUCAUAUCUCAUGACUUCUUUAAGAGCUCCCCACGUUUUGAUAGUUGGCUCAUUGUAAAACCGCCUAUCAUCUUCUUCUUGUACCCACCAUUUAAAGCCUUCUUCUCUAAGUUGAUCAAUAGCAUAAGCUAGCCUUUAUUUCCUCAGGAUGUUGUUGAAGUGAAACCAUUCAUCAAGGUUCCUCUCCCAUCUAAGAUAACCUCUUUUUCCUGAAAAUUUAAAGAGUUCAAUUUUAUCAGCAAAAGAGUUAUAAUCAAACCGAGAAUUAACAACAUGAUUGUUGUGGGUUUUAGAAGUUGGAGUUUGAUUGAUCCUUGAAGGAUCUGGUGUCUUGGGCUCGACAUAUACAGCCCCGGUUUGAUGUGAACCCCGGAUCUUCCAAAUAAGGCAAGUGUAGAACUGGUUUGGCCGGUUUUGGGAAAUUGAUCAUAUCUCCUAAUUUCCGGGGCCAUUUCUCCUGAUAUUGGGCUUUCUGGAAAUAUGAUAAACUCCUCUUGACUUCUAUGAUCGGAUUUGGUUCAGGCCGCUUCUUCAUUGGGCUUGAAUCCUCUUCUAAAGUCGGGUACUCGCAGAUGGACAGGCUAGGAAACCUCUGACUUGUAAAAUUUAUAACUUCUUUCUCCGUGAUUAUUUUGGCCCAAUUCUAAUUUUCAUGGACUCCUUUUUGAGUUUAGAAUCCAUAAAAAUUAGCCUCGUCACUUAAACCCUCCUGGUUUGUAAGAUAUGUCAUUUUUAGUGCACGUAUGUCCUGGUUGGCGGCUUGGUUGGUUGAGUAGGGCUUUGGGUUGACCUCUGGUUCAGUUGCUGAUCUGAUGGCCGCAUCAAGAAGUCUCUCACAUUCUUCUUUGGCUUGAAGAACAUAAUCAACUAGAUAGCUCGGUUAAACAGGUUGUUCUGCUUGAACAUGUUGUUCCGGUUGAACAGAUUGAUGUUGAUCUUCUAUCACAUCUUCAUAUGUGGUGUGAUCAUGAUCAUUCUCGAAAUCACCUUCAUUAUUGCCUCCGGUUUCCAUAUGAUCGUGAUCAUUAUGAUGACUAUUAUUCACCACCACGAGUCCUUGAUCAAGCUUCGUGUACCAGUCUCGUGGAACUUGCCUUAGUACGUAUAAAGCCUUUCGAAGUUUGAAAACCUUAUGUUCUUCUCCCUUCUUUUCAAAUCCUAUAGGCUGAGAUACAUACACAUCUUCUGUCAAUUCUCCAUGUAAGAACGCUGUCUUCACGUCCAAGUGAUGGAUCUCCCAUCUGUUAGCAGCAGAUAAACCGAAUAGCAAUAUGAUCGUCUCUAUAUGAGAAACUGGUGCAAACACUCUUUAAAGUCGAUUCCAUGUUCUUGAACAUAUCCUUUAGCCACGAGUCUUGACUUAUACUUGCUGAUUGAGCCAUCUGCAUUCCUUUUGAUCUUAAAGAUCCACUUGAGGCCAAUAACUUUGACUCCAGCUGGUUUGUCUACUAGCACCCACAUUUCAUUCUCCUCUAUAGAAUCAAUCUCGUAUGCGCAAUCUUUUCUCCAUUGAACAAGUUUGCUGGCUUCUUGAAAGUUAAUUGGUUCGUCAUUGAGUGUAAGAAGUAUAAACUCACACUCUAUGUCAGCCAGUAAUACAUUGUCUUCAAGAUAGCUAGGACGAGUUGAUUGACAUGUUGAGCGCCUAGGUUGUGGUUCGAUCUGUUCAACGUCUGGAUUGACUUGAACAGGUUCUGGUUGCUGCACUUCAGUCUCUUCAGCAGCAGGUUCUUCCUGUUGAGUUCCAAUCAAGAAUGGACCAUGUCCGUCGUCUAUUGUAGCACCCCAUGACAUCCUAAACAUACAAGGUUCGCUCUGUUCUUCCUUGUUAGCUACCUUCCAAUUCCAAUACUCCUUCUCAUUAAAGAUCACAUCUCGACUUACAACUAUUCUUCUAGAGAUCGGAUUGUAGAGUUGAUAAGCUUUAGAUCCAGGUUCAAUGCCAAGACGAACCAGUGCUUGUGAUCUAUCAUCAAGUUUCUUGAGCUGUCCAGAGUCGACCUUGGCGUGUGCAAGACACCCAAACACCCUGAUAUGCCCUAUGCUUGGUUUCUUUCCUCUCAAGCAUUCGUAUGGAGUCUGAUUCUUCAAAGCUCUUGUGGGAACUCGGUUAAUCAGAUAUGUGGCAUGACGAACUGCUUCUCCCCAUAAGUAAUUAGGAACUCUCAUAUCCUUUAGAAUGCUCUUUGUCAUCUCCAUGAGUGUGUGAUUUCUCCUCUCGGCCACUCCGUUUUGUUGUGGGGUAUAUGGAGCUGUGAGAUGACGUCUUAUACCACUGUUGUUGCAGAAUUCUUGAAACUCUUUUGAUAUAAACUCACCACCUCUAUCCGUACAUAGUGUUACAAUCUCUUUGUUGACUUCUUUCUCAACCAGUUUUUUGAAUUUUUUGAACUUUUCAAACGCAUCUCCCUUCUCCUUUAGUAAGAUUGAUCACAUAUAUCUUGUGCAAUCAUCAAUUAUCACAAAGACAUACCUGUUCUGUGAAAGCGUAGAUGGUGAGAUAGGACCACACAAGUCUGCGUGUAGGAGUUCCAACGCAUGCGACGAUCUGUAUGCUGUAGCCUUUGGAAAAGCUUGUCGCGCUUGCUUCCCAACCAAGCAUGAGUCGUAUAGUUGUUUCUCAUCUUGAAUCUCUGGCAACCCGUGUACCAUCUCAUGUGUUGCCAUGGACCUUAUAGUUUUGAAACUAAUGUGUCCGAGCCUAGCAUGCCAUCUCCAAGUAUCUUCUUCCAUUUUUGUGUGCAAACAUGCUAGUCUACCAACUUCAAGUCGCAACUUGUACAGCCGGUUAGGCGACCUUAACACUUUCGCCAGUAGUCUUCCAUUAGGGUCGGGUUUGGUAAUACAUCCUAAACCCGGUUGAACCCAUUUAAUGUUCGGGUUUCGGGUUUAAAUCGGGUAUCAAAUAUCCAAAUACCUAUAUGUUACCGGAAAGUACUAAUUUAAACUUGUAUUUGUAUGAGAAAACAGAGUUGUAAUGUUGAACAUGCAUACGUCCCUGCUUACAAAGUUUAUAUUUCUUGGUACAAUGCGUACAAAACGUGAAGUAGUAUCUCGUAACAAUGAACCUAUUGUGUUCAUCCAGAUCAAAACAUGAAGUAAUAAUAUCAAAACGUAAAUAAUGAAAGAAAAUCUCUAAACCUUUAUUAAAAUUCAACGUACUAAGAAAAGAACACAAAUAUAGAAAACACCAAAACCUUAAAAGCAAUUGUCAAAGCUAGAGCACGACAAUAUCUCAAAUGAAAAGGAAAUAAAAAACAACACCAAAAUGAAAACAAAAAGAUCUCCAGCUUGAAGCUUCAGUCUUCAAGUCUUACAUUCUCAAACUCUGCAAAGACAAACAAAAGAAUGGUUAAAACGUGGAACAAACAUAUGAAAUGUUAUAAGACUAAGACUGAAAGUUAAGUGUACCUUUCUCAAGUUUGUCUAGCAUUUCAACUUCAGCUAGAAUCUGCUCAUUAGUUUGGACUUUUUCAGCAAACUUGAUAUCAGCUUUCAUCCAUUGCUCACUACACAUCAGCACUUCUAUCAUGUAGUGAGUGAGACAGCUUCUAUAUGGUUCUAAAAUUCUACCACUUGUGCUAAAAGCACUUUCAGAAGCCACAGAGGAAACCUGCAUCGCAAGUAGAUCCCUUGCCAUCUCUGCCAAAACUGGAAACUUGAUUCUGUGCACCUUCCACCAACCGAGAAUAUCAAACUCAAAUCCCAUCAUAAGCUUCUGAUUCUCAACAGGUUCCUUCAAGUACAUUUCCAGCUCAUCCCUUGCCUCAUUUUCUGUUUCAGAAACAAGUUCCUUGUACACAGAAUCCAUCCUCUCAUAACCAAAAUCUUCAACAACCAACUUCAACCUCUCCAUUUGCUCUUGAGUCUCCUGAACACUCGCAGAUGGUGUUUGCUUCGUUUGAGAGGAUUGAGUACUAGCACCUCUGAAACGGCUAGAAUACUCCUGGAACAUGCUUGUAAGGAGAUCAAGAACAGACGCAGACAUUUCCUUAGACUCGAAACUGUCCUUCCCAUACAGUUUCUCAAAGCAUAAGUUUGCGAAAUUCAUCUUCUUCCUUGGAUCAAUUAUUGAUGCAAUGAUCAACAUCAUAUUCACAUUCUUCAUGCCAUCCCAAUACUUCAGAAACUUGUGCAACAUAUCUUCAGCUUUCAGCUUCAAAUCUGGGUCUAGGUUGUUAGCCAAUGCCGUGAGAUUCCUCUCAAUUGUCACUAUCUCACCAUAGCAUUUGUAGGAGUUGACUUUUGAGGAAGCAGAGACAACCAAGGUGCUGUUGUAGAAUAUGAUUAGAAACCUCUUAAGCUUAUCCACAGCAUUCCAAUCAACAACAUCAGGCGGUCCUUGCCUCUUAACCCCAUUUUCUACUUCUAAAAAGUAGUCAUUAUACAACCUGUCAUCUGCUUCCAUCCUAUCAAAAGCAACUCUAAACUGUAAUGCUCUAGACAGCAUGAGGAAUGUUGAAUUCCACCUAGUCUUAACAUCCAUAGGCAGGCUACCUCGUGUCAUCUUCCCAGUAGUAACCCUUUGUUCAAAUGAAUUCAACCUAUUGCUAGAAGAUCGAACAUACUGGACUGCAUUACGGAUGGCAAGCACAUUAUCACCUAAAUCACCUAGACCCUCUUUAGCUAUCAAGUUAAUAAUGUGUGCACAACACCUCAUGUGCAGAAAGUUCCCCUCCAACACUAAAGCAUCAGGCGACACUUGACUGAAAUCCCUAUGGAAUCUCCUAAUAGCUGAGGUAUUGGCAGUUGCAUUGUCUACCGUAAUAGAAAACAAUUUCUGAAUUCCCCAAUCAGCUAAGCACUCGAGAAGAACAGUAGAAAUUGUCUGACCUUUAUGAUCCAUGACCAAUUUGAAACCUAGAAUGAUUUUCUUCAGCUGCCAUGUUGGAUCAACAAAAUGUGCAGUCACAACCAUGUAGCUUGCACCUGCCAAGAAACAAUAACAUCUGGUUAGAACGACAACAAAUGUUUUCGUUUUCAAUUUUCAGAAAUAAAAAACGCUUACCUGUCACCUGAGAAACCCAAAUGUCAGUGGUGAGUGAAACUCUUUGCUGGUUAGUGUAUAACCAUCUCUUCAAUGCCUCUUUCUUCUUCACAAACAUCUCCACAAUAUCUCUAGUUGCAGUUCUUCUUGAGUGGGGCUUGUAGAGGUUAACCUUCAUCGAAAUGAAAAAAAGUAUCAUUAGUUUCAGAAAUAUACAAAAACAUUAACAAUGCAAAUAUACAAUGCUUUACCUUGUUGCAGAAGUGUUUCCAGCCUGUACUUUCUAUGAAAGAAAGAGGCAACUCAGCUAACACCAAUAACUCAUUUGAGGCUUCUCUGAAAACCUUCUCAGACACCUUUGAUGAUUUCACAUUGCCUUCAUCAUCGAUCCUAGUUUGAUUCUUCCCUUGGCUGAUUACGUGGGCUUGGUACUCUCUGCAGAUUUGCAGGUGCUUCAUGAGAUUGGAAGUUCCUGAUUUUGUCUGACAUGAGAAGAGCUUUUGGCAGUAGUGACAAAUGCACUUGUCACGGCUCUCCUUUGUUCUGGUGUAGUGUUUCCACACACCAGACCUCGGCACAACAACUUUUGGCACCUUAUUUGCCCGAGAACUCUCUCCACACGGUGUUUCUGCUUCCUUCCUCUUCCCACGCCUAUCAAUAGUUUCACAGUCUACAUAUUCAACUUCUUUGUCAGCUCCACUGUUUUGUUGAUUUUUAGAAGACGAUGAAUCCAUCUACAAGAAAUAAAGCAGAAGCAGUACUUAUUAGGACAUGAAGCACUGACACAAUACACAUAUACAAACAUGAUGCUUCAAACAAACAAUAGACCUGACCAAACACUAAACAAGACUAAUUAUAAUUGUGUACCUGCUUGGUUGAAAAAAUAAAAGAUUUCUUUAUUUCACUUCCUUCCAUUUAAAUUUAGCAUACAAGCGACUUGAAAUUUUAUUCUAAAUACAAAUAAAACCAAAAAACUAAUUGCCAAACAUAUUCAAAGUAACAAAUGGUAAACUAGCAAUCUUCUAAAACAGAACAUACAUAUACAAAAACAAGUUGACAAACAUCGAAACAAAACAAACAUAAAGACAAGGUUUUUAUCUACAACAAGUUGACAACAUAUAAUUAAAUAUACAACACGUAAAGAAACAAAUCAGUUACUGACUAUCACGAGUUGACUAUCUACAAAAAGAAGUAAGACAUAAGAAAUUCUUCUAUUAACUAACACAUAAGUACAAGUACGACAAGUUUAAGAGACAAGAGACGAAUAUAUGUAAAAGAGAAAACCAAAAUACUUGAAAUACAAAGACACUUACGAACCCGAAAUAACGUAACUUAUACUACCUCCGUUUCCGAAAGUAAGAUGUUUUAGAUGUUUUUCUUGUUCCACAAAGAUAGAUUUUCUAUAUUGUUAAGGUACUUUUUUAUACUUUUGAGGAACAUUAAUUGAGAAUAUUUGAAUUGAUUAAAUUUUAUUGGUAGAAAGUUAUUGGAAAGUGUAUAAAAAAGUAAAAAAUAAAUUAAAUUAUAAACAUUUAUUAAAUUCUUAAUAAGCGUGCAUACUCUAGAAAAUCUUACUUUCAGGAACAGAGGGAGUAAUACCAAAUUAUUAGCUCCAUUCGUUUUUUUUGCAAGAUCCGAACCCGGUCCGACCCGGUUUUAUCGGUGUGGGUUCGGUACGGGUCAUCGGGUCCGGAUUAUUUGCCCUGGCCUAGGUCGAAUGGCCAAUGCUUACUGUUCCUUACGAUUGUAGAAAUGGAACCCAAAGUGUGUGCUAUAACAUACAUUUGAUCGAGAUAACGUUAUUGCUGAUAAAUGAUUUGAACAGAGCAAAGGAACAAUUUGUUUUAUAAAACUGGAAUGAUACAACAAAUAUUAACUUAGAAUAUGAAACUACAAAUCAAAAUAUUAAUAUAGAAACGAAGAGACAUGAACAUACCAGACGUAUGCUAAUUGUGGUGUCUAAUCUAGCUUGUGUAUUGAUCAAAAAUUAAAAUAAAAUCUAGCAUGUGUAGUGUUACAUUCUUUUAUACAGAAAACUUUUGUUCAAAGGGACAGUCCGUGAUAGGGUUUAAAACCCUUUAUUCCUCAAAAACAAUUAGAUGCUGACAAACCAUGUCUUAUCCUUAAUCAUAAUUAAUAUACUUUCAGAUAUGGCACUGAUUAAAUUCUAUACACAUACUCCCUCUGUUUCAUUAUAAGUGUCGUUUUAGGUUUCGGCACACGGAUUAAGGAAACAAUUAAUUUUGUACAUUUCCUAUAAAAAACACUAUUACCUAUACGCCUAACCAUAUUUCAACCAAUAGAAAAAUAAAUUUUACAUAAAAUUAAUAAAUUUUGCAUUGAAAAUCGAAAACAACACUUAUUUUGUAACGGAAAAAAUUCUCUAAAACGACACUUAAUAUGAAACGGAUGGAGUAUAUCCCUUUUUAAUUACACAUUCAGAAUACAUAUGAUGGUCUCUAUAUAUAUGUAUACAGCAAACAAAAAAAGCAUAAAAUCAACAAGACUUAAAAAACAUUAUAUAUAAUAUAUAUGAUUCUUACUCGUUACACUUGUAAACAGAUCCACUCAUGGAUGCGUAAGAAGAGAAAAGGAGGAAAGUUAUAUAUGAUAUUGAUUCGAACAUAUUCAUGCGAGAGUAGGCAAACUUUGACAAGAAGAAAAGUAAAACAGAGGGAAGUUGAUCUUGUCACUUCAUAAUAUAGCUUUUGAAUCGAAUUUUUGAUGAAAACAAGACGAUCCUGAUUAAUUGAUUAUGAUUUGUAAGUAGGGAUUGUCUUUAAUCAAACAAUAGCUAGAAUACCAAAGUCCUUUCAACUCUGUACUAGUUAAUGGGUAUUAGUUAUAUUGGAUGUCUCUAAUUUCAAUCUUGAAAUUCUACCAAGUUUUCAAGAAAUGUUUUCCUUUUGGAAUUAACAAAUGAGUCAACCAAGCGCUCGUAGCUUGGUGGUAAAGAAGGUACAGCUGUACUGUCCGCCACCCGGGUUCGAGCCUUGUCCACAACGGAUUUAACAUCCUUUAUGUUGGGGCGCUGGACCCCUUUCGGGGAUAGUUGGGAAUGUGGCUGCCCAGAUACCAGAAUUAUCACAAAAAGAAAAAAAAAAACGAAUGAGUCAACCGUAUUAGGUUAGUCUAAAUUUAAGAAAAUUAUCGACUCCACAAUAAGAUUUUAUUAUUAUUAUUCAAGAAAUAGACCAAUGACUUAUAUAUCAAGUCAAGAAUAUAUCAAGUCAAGCACGAAAUUACUCACCAAAAUCCCUUAAUCUCUGCAUCAGUUUAAUCCCUCCUAAAUUUAAUACUCUUCUGUACUGAAAUGAUUACGAAUCCACCCAAGGAAGACAAAGAAAAAAAUGUUUAGUUAAGCACUUACGUUUAAAUUAACCAUCGUGUUGUGAACUUUAGAUACAUCUUAGUCUCGGUAAAUUAAGAAAUGUUCAUAUAUUUAGAUAACGUAACUUUUCCUUUUGGUAGGGCCAUGUUAGUUAGCGAAAAAAAAUGACACAACUUCCAAUCUGUCCUUUUUUAUUCUUAUGCUACGUCAAAAUAAAAUAAUAUUUUGGAAAGUAAUAUGAUUGAUCAAAACAACCAUGCAAUCACCCAAACUUUCUGCUAUCAAUUAUGCAUCUUAAUUAUUUGGUUAUUAUUUUAACUCCUUAACUACGUUGUAUUGUGACAUUAUUGUCAUUGUGUCAUUGUUUACUACUCAUUAGUAAUUAUAAGUAACGUUCUGGUGUCGUGAAUGCUUCGUCCUGUGCCAAAUAACCAAAAAUGGGGGGUAAUUAGAUUUUUAUGGGAAGUUAGAGAGGAAUAGGAAGAGAAAUGAGGAGAGACUGUGUGUUUUUGGUUAAAUAGUGAAUUUGUGUGUUUUAUGCAUAUAGGGGGCAGUUUCCUUUAAUUAGUUGAUUGUUCAAAAAACAAUAAAAUUAGAGGAUUUGCUACAACUCAUUUUAGACAUCUAGAACACGUGCAGUCCGUAUAUGUUGUAAUGUUUUUGGUAAUUGAAACUUGAACGAUGAGAUUAGUGCUGUCCUAUUAUAACAAGUUUCGACUUGACUAAAUUAAGAAAACUUCUUAUCUCAUCAUGGACUGGAGCUUCGACUCGAACACAAAGGUAAGUGUUAUCCCGCAUGUCAACACCAGCUAUGAAUUAACAACUCAAGAUUACAUGUCCAUUGUUAACAUCAAAACAAGUAAUUAAUUAACUUCCCAAAGCUUAAAAAUAGAAUAUAACAAUAAAGACCGUGUAGCGCUCGUUACAAAUACUACUAGUGGUUUUUGUUCUAGAAACUAUUUUCAGGUUCGAAUAGAAAGUCAAAGAAGUAUACAAAAGUCUACAACAAUCUAUAGUCAAAGAAAAAGUCUAUACAACGGAUGGUGUUUUGUUUUUAUGAACCACACUGAUGCAGCGUCAUCCUACUUCUUCUUGGCUUUGGUGUUUACUCUAUUUUCCUUUUCUUAAAGUUUACUUAUUUGUUUCGAGUUUUAUCUCCUUUUCUUGUCAUAGAAGAUAAAAAAAACUUAUGAUCUUUAUUCUUUAGGGUUUUACUUAUUAUUUACUAUAUAUAUAUAUGCCUUAGGUGUUGUAACGGCACGACUUAUUUGAUUAAUAAACAGAGCUUUUAUAAACUCUAAACCUUGUUCUCGGAUAAAGCUUGACUCUCAACGAUCUCAAAAAGGCACGUUUCCUAGGUAUUCUCAGAAUCAAUAGGCUACUUGCGUUAUAAGUAACCUCAGGUUACACCAGUUGGUAUCAGAGCCCUACGGUUUUGAUUUCUUAAUCAAGACUUCUUACGAUCUUUGCUAUCCACCUAUCUCCGGUUACUCUUUACCUCGUCAUUAUCAUGCCCCCACGUAAGCAAACGCCCGAAGAAUUACAAGAGGAGCUUCACAAUACUCUUGAAACCUUCACGGCUUCGCUUCACGAAACUCUCAUACAGGCCGUUGAAACUGCUCUGACGACAGUGCUUCAACGUCAACAAAACAACCCACAGGCCAACAUUGCUCAUCGUCAUCCUCGUGCCGACGAUUCAGAUGAAGAUUUGGCAGAAAAUCUUUUUGCCGAUGGCAACCAACAGGAACAACGUAACCACGAUCGUAUCGCCGCUCCAGCUGAUCACCAAAUCAACAGACGCGAAGUUCAGCCUGAAGAAAGACAAUGGGAAAGAGGGUUUCGGAUUGAGAUUCCAGAAUUUAACGGCAAUCUUAGCACAGAAGAAUUUUUGGAUUGGCUUAGUGCGAUCGAGGAAAUUCUAGAGUUCAAACGCAUUCCAGAAGACCAGUGUGUUCCUUUAAUCGCUUCCCGUUUCAAAAACAGAGCAAUGGCAUGGUGGCAACAGAUUAAAGAAUCGCGACGACGAGCGGGAAAACCUCGCAUUGAUACUUGGGAGCGUCUCAAAAAGCAUAUGCGAAGGGCUUUUCUCCCUUACAACUACGAGCGCACUCUCUACAACAAACUCCAAGCUCUGCGUCAGGGUGGUCGGACAGUGGACGAGUAUGCAAUAGACUUCUUCCACAUGGUGUCCCGAACAGCACUUGUUGAAACAGAGGAACAACUCGUCUCACGUUUUAUAGGGGGUCUUCGCUAUCAAAUUCAAAUCGCCUUACAGCAGUUCAAUCCUCUCACAGUCUCUGAAGCUCACCAACGUGCAUUGGCGAUGGAAAUUCAAUACCGUUCAACUUGGAACACAGGAAACUCGAGGAAUCGAUCGACGACUCAAGCCGUCGACUCCAACACAACGACUACUUCGGAUGCAUCUCCAUCUCGGCCGGCAGUAGCUCGUACUGGUACUAAUACACCAACAGACGGGAUUGUUCAAACUCGUCCUGCACGAACAGGUGCUCUUCGUUGUUUUACUUGCGGUGAGACGGGACAUAGGCAAACGGCGUGUCCAAAUCAGCACAAACGAGGGUUGCUGAACCAAGACACCAACCUUGAUGAAGAACCUAAGUAUGAUCAAUAUGACUCGGACACUCUGGCGGAGGACGAGAUCGAGUAUAUUGCAGGGGACACAGGAGCACAUGCCUUGAUAGUACGACGAAACUGCUUGCUUCCGCGCUCUACUCAAGAAUCAUGGUUGCGAACAACUCUGUUUCGCUCCACUUGCACUAUUAACGGUAAAAUAUGCAAACUCAUCAUUGAUUGAGGGAGUUGCACAAUUGUAAUCUCUACAGUUGCGGUCAAGAAGCUAGACCUCAAGACCAUGGUUCACCCAUCACCGUAUAAACUUGCAUGGCUCAACAAGGGAACAGAAAUAACUGUAUCACGUCAAGUGAUGAUCUCCUUCUCCAUUGGCGGUUAUCUUGACUCUGUUUGUUGUGACGUUGUCCCGAUGGACGCAUGUCAUCUUCUUCUUGGUCGACCUUGGCAAUACGACAAGGACGCGACUCACCGUGGCAAAACUAAUACCUAUAGUUUUGAAUUUAAGGGUCGCACAAUUACGUUGCUUCCAUCUCCGGAACCGUCGGCAGUGGACGAGUUACCGGCAACAAGUACUUCAUCACAGACACCUGCAACACCAGCUCGCACUCUUCUCACUCUUCCCAAGGCGGAAUUCAAAAAACACUUACGCGAGACUGACGUGGUAUGGGCACUGGUCGCUUCUCCUGUGAUAUCGGACCCGAGUAGCGUGGUCCCUAAGGCAUUUGACUCUUUGCUAGACAGCUUUGCCGAUGUCUUUCCGAGUGAUCUUCCCACCGGUCUCCCUCCUUUGCGCGAUAUUCAACACCACAUUGAUCUCAUGCCCAAUGCUACGCUUCCAAAUCGACCUCAUUAUCGGAUGAGCCCUCAAGAACAUGAUGAGUUACGUCGCCAGGUCGAGGAGCUUCUAGCUAAGGGUCACAUACGCGAAAGUCUUAGUCCUGCAGCAGUUCCGGCACUCUUAAUUCCCAGGAAAGACGGUUCAUGGCGUAUGUGCAUUGAUAGUAGAGCAAUUAACAAAAUAACUGUACGCUACCGUUUCCCAAUUCCGAGGCUUGACGACCUAUUAGACCAAAUUGGUCGUGCUUCCAUCUUCUCUAAACUAGAUCUUAAGAGUGGUUACCAUCAGAUUCGCAUUCGUCCAGGUGAUGAGUGGAAAACUGCUUUUAUAACUCGUGAAGGUUUGUUUGAGUGGUUAAUCAUGCCAUUCGGUCUUUCGAACGCACCUAGCACAUUCAUGCGAGUCAUGAAUCAAGCCCUCCGGCCUUUCAUUGGCAAAUGUGUUGUCGUGUACUUCGACGACAUCCUCGUCUUUAGUGAGACGUUGGACAUCCAUCUUAACCACCUCCGUGAUGUCCUUCAAGUGUUGCGACAGCAAGAACUCUUUGCGGCAAGAAAGAAGUGUGUGUUCGGCACGUCGCAAGUCCUUUUCUUAGGAUACAUUAUCUCAGCCGACGGUCUACAAGUUGAUCCUAGCAAGAUCGAAGCUAUCAAAUCGUGGCCCAUUCCACGAACUAUAACAGAGGUGCGAAGUUUCCAUAGUCUCGCAUCUUUUUACCGGCGUUUCAUGAGGAAUUUCAGUGCAUUAACAGCACCACUGACUGAUUGCAUGAAAGGAUCAACAUUCUUGUGGACUACAGCAGCCGAGACAGCUUUUCAAACUAUCAAAGAACACUUGAUCUCGGCUCCAAUAUUAGCUUUACCAGAUUUCUCAACGGUAUUUGAGUUGCAUUGUAAUGCUUGUAAAGCAGGCAUUGGCGCAGUCCUUAGUCAACAAGGACGUCCAAUUGCUUACUAUAGUGAGAAGAUUGCAGGCUCGCGUGCACGAUACAGUACUUAUGAUGUGGAGUUUUAUGCCAUUGUCCAAGCAAUCCGACAUUGGCGUCACUAUCUUUUUCAUCAGGAGUUUAUUCAUUUUACCGACCAUGACGCCUUAAAACAUUUAGAUAGUCAGUCCAAGAUAUCAUCUCGCCAUGCUUCUUGGAUCGCCUACCUCCAACAGUUUACUUUCGUCAUACGUCAUCAGUCGGGAAAAACAAAUAAAGUAGCAGACGCCCUCAGCCGACGCCACACGUUACUUGCUUCGUUUCACACAACGGUCCCUGGUCUUGCUUCUAUCGCGGAGCUAUACGCAACAGACGCCUACUUUGGAUGGAUUUGGUGUGAAGUUCAGUCCCAUAGUCGGACAGAUUAUGUCAUCACCGAUGGAUUCUUGUUUCGCGGGGACAAAUUAUGCAUCCCAGAGGGUAGUUGGCGUUUGCGUAUCAUUCAAGAGGUCCAUAAUGAAGGACAUAUGGGACGCGACCGGACUCUUAAGAUGGUCCUCGACUCAUAUUAUUGGCCUUCGGUGCGACGUGACGUGGUUCGCUUUGUGGAGCGAUGUGUAGUUUGCCAGACAUCUAAGGGUCAUGCAUCGAAUGGAGGAUUAUAUAUGCCUUUGCCUAUUCCUACACAGCCAUGGACAGAUAUUAGUAUGGACUUCGUUCUCGGCCUCCCUCGUACUCAACGCGGCUUCGAUUCCAUAUUUGUUGUGGUGGAUCGUUUCUCGAAAAUGGCUCACUUCGUGCCUUGCAAAAAAACAACAGAUGCGGUCAUGGUAGCUCAACUUUUCUUCCGUGAUAUAUACCGACUUCAUGGUCUGCCAUUAUCUAUUGUUUCGGAUAGAGAUUCGCAGUUCCUCAGUCAUUUUUGGCAUUCUCUUUGGAAGCUUCUGCGUACGAGUCUUGAUAUGAGUUCUGCUUAUCACCCCCAGUCGGAUGGUCAGACAAAAGUAAUCAAUCGAUCUUUAGGUGAUAUGCUUCGUUGUUUGGUCGGCAGUAAUAUUCGUACAUGGGAUUCUAUUUUGUGUCAGGCUGAGUUCGCUUUCAAUCAUGCUGUAAAUCGGAGCACUUCUUACAGUCCCUUUCGUGUGGUUUAUGGUAUCGUUCCUAGAGGCCCGAUUGAUCUUGGUUUGGUCCCUGACGCUACACGUGAUCAUGGUGAGGCUAUUGACUUUGUGGCCAAUGUUUCUCAUAUCCAUCAACUGGUCCAUGACAAUUUGAAGAUCACGUCUGCAAAGUAUAAGGAAGCUGCAGAUCGUCAUCGUCGUGACAUUCAAUUCAACGUUGGCGAUAAGGUUUGGGCUAUCUUAACAAAAGAACGCUUUCCACCUCAUGAAUACAACAAGUUGAAGGCCCGGCAGUAAUAUUCGUACAUGGGAUUCUAUUUUCUGUCAGGCUGAGUUCACUUUCAAUCAUGCUGUAAAUCGGAGCACUUCUUACAGUCCCUUUCGUGUGGUUUAUGGUAUCGUUCCUAGAGGCCCGAUUGAUCUUGGUUUGGUCCCUGACGCUACACGUGAUCAUGGUGAGGCUAUUGACUUUGUGGCCAAUGUUUCUCAUAUCCAUCAGCUGGUCCAUGACAAUUUGAAGAUCACGUCUGCAAAGUAUAAGGAAGCUGCAGAUCGUCAUCGUCGUGACGUUCAAUUCAACGUUGGCGAUAAGGUUUGGGCUAUCUUAACAAAAGAACGCUUUCCACCUCAUGAAUACAACAAGUUGAAGGCACGUAAGAUUGGUCCAUUGGAGAUUUUGGAGAAGAUAAAUGCCAACGCAUAUCGUUUGAUGUUACCAGCGAAUAUAAGGUGUUCUGAUGUCUUUAAUGUGAAACAUUUGGUUCCCUAUGUGCCGCAGGAUGAGCCCGAAGAUUCGAGGGCGAAUCUUUUCUUACCCCGGGGGACCUGAUGCAGCGUCAUCCUACUUCUUCUUGGUUUUGGUGUUUACUCUAUUUUCCUUUUUCUUAAAGUUUACUUAUUUGUUUCGAGCUUUAUCUCCUUUUCUUGUCAUAGAAGAUAAGGAAAACUUAUGAUCCUUAUUCUUUAGGGUUUUACUUAUUAUUUACUAUAUAUAUCUAUGUCUUAGGUGUUGUAAGGGCACGACUUAUUUGAUUAAUAAACAGAGCUUUUAUAAACUCUAAUCCUUGUUCUUGGAUAGAGCUUGACUCUCAACGAUCUCAAGAAAACACGUUUCCUAGGUAUUCUCAGAAUCAAUAGGCUACUUGCGUUAUAAGUAACCUCAGGUUACACCACACACAAAGAAGGUCAAAGACCAUUAUUGUCUUCUCUAUAUCACCGUAUGUGUUUACCGGUCCCGUAACUAAACUUUGACAUUGGAAGUUUUCUUAUUGUUCAUCUAUUUUCCUUUUAUGUGAAUGUGAAUUUUUUCCUGCAGAAGAAAUUAAGUUUAGUUACAAAAGUGCCUUUUGGUGGCUAAAACAUCUUUGUCGGCGCCGAAUUACAAUUUCAUUUAUAUGAAUGAAAAGAAAAAGAUGAUACAUCUCGACCAACACGCCAAUAUCCCUUUCCAUAUAUUUAAUUUUCAUCUUCUUAAGAUCACUUUCAUGUGCCAUUGCCUAUUCAAACUCUAUACGCUAUACUAUAUAUAAGUUAAUAACCAAACUCGUUUUCAUGACGUAUAGUCUUCAUUACUUGGUAAUAUUCAUAUUGUCUUUGUAACCAAGAGAGACAACAUGGUCAUUGUAUAUAUCUGAUUCUAUACCUAAUGCUAGAAGCUUCUUCGUAUCAUCUUGUUAAAGACAAACUAGACCGAGGAUGUGAAACUGAUUGAGAGAGAAAUUCAAGUGGAAAGCAAAAUUAACAAAUAUAAACAUCUAAUAUAUACACCUUCAAAAGCUCCACAGAAGACCACCAUUUACUAUAAGAAAUUACAUUCAGUUUGUGGCUUAUAGAAAAGGUAAUUAAUUAAUAAUAUGUAACAACGUACGGUAUAUAUAGAAGCUAACGAAUUCAUUCACACAAAUCGUCACUACUGUCAAAGUCAAAAUUUGAAUCCAAAUGAGUAAAAAGAUAUACUUGCUUUAAAGAAAACUGUAAUGGACGUUAAACUAAUUAAACUAAACCCACUUUGCAAAAUUCUACAAUAAAGCAUUAAUCAUUUAAGUCUGAACGGACAAAGAGUUGUUAUAUUUUAGUGAUUUCAAUAAUAUAUGGAAUAACUGCAAUUUGUGGAAAAUAACUUAAGAACGUCCACCAAAAAGAUACAAACAAAAAAAACCAUGCAACAAGGAAACUACAUAUAUGUUAGUCCAUUCUUUACGUCAAUUCUCUUUAAAGCAAACUCUUCGCUCCUCAAUUUCUAUUUUACUCUGCCUAAACACUUCCCCUCUUCAGUCACCAUCAGAUCAAACAUGCUGAAAACAACCACAACGGCGACCUUUCUCUGUUUCGUUCUCGCCACCGUGGUUCUGAUGAACCCAACUUCCUCCACCGCCACAUACAGCCCAACUUCCUCCGCCUCCACAGACACGUUCAUAUUGGCAAAGUGUUCUCCGGAAAAGUUCUCUCCUGGCUCAGCCUACGAGACCAACCUCAACUCCCUCCUCUCUUCCCUCGUUAGCUCCACCGUCGCCAGCCGCUACAAUAACCUCACCGUUCCCUCCGGC